rnacentral:lncRNA from 1 species
UUGUGGAAUUUCUGGAUCCUUUCCAAGGCAGUAAUGAUAUAUGCCUUCUCUCAAAGUAUGUGGUAUUUUUGGUAUGAGGCAUAGUGAUAUUGCCUUCUCUCUCACCAUACUCUAAUAAGGUUUUGAUAUCUGGAGCUCAUAGGUGGGAGACAGCUAAUACAUACUUACAAGACAUUUAUUGCAUAGUCAAACCAUGGAUCCAGAAGAACAAGUCAAUAAGUCAAAUCAAGAUGUGCAUGUGUGGUGAGUGAAUGUUGUAUGGGGAUGAUGGUGAUAACAAUGGUGAAAGUCUAUUUCUACCUUUGCUCUUUUAAGGGGAUACAUACCUUUCUUGCACUUUGAAGCUUUUUGAGGAGAAUGAGAUGCUCUAUAUUUUCUUUUUCUUUUUCUCUCAGGUGGGUAUCUUGUACCCUUAAUUGUACAGUCGGACACUUGUCCAUUUUUACCUCUCGUCUCACUUUUUCUUUUCUUCGAGGUUCCGGGCACUUGCCCUUUUUAUUUCCUCGUAUCCUCUUUUUUUUAGAGCACUCAUCUCCUUAAAUAAUAUAGCAAGUGGUAGUAACCAAGAUAACUCAAGCAUUUAUUUCACAAGGAAAAACAGGAAUAGGAAAAAGUUUUUGGCUAUUCUCUCCCGUAUUAGGAGUAGAAUACUUUUGGGUGGCUUUGGAGAAGGAAGUGAGUGGAUAUAUGUGGAUGCGUACUUCCGGAGUAGAAGUAGCAUGUAUUAGUGAACGUGCAAGUGGAUCUUAAUUUUAACCGCAUGACAAGCUCCUAAGGGUCUACACAGCUUGACCACACUCAAUGCUCAUAAGUAGUAAAAAGUAAAUGUGUGGCGUAAAGUCUAGCAAGCAUGUAUAUAUGGCUGUGGUAGGAAUUUAAACUCUCAUCAUACAGGAACUCAUCAUGUGCUAUUUUAAAAAUUUUCAAAGAUAAAAUUCUCCAUAAUUCUAGCAUCUCUAGGAACAGAUAAACAGCAGCUCAACCUUCCCAUAUCAUAUCCGUUAACAACUUAGACUUCAGAUCAAGCACUCUUACCACAAGUUUAGGUUUAGAGCAGGUUUAAAUUAUAACAGUUAUGCCUAAACUUGAGAGAGAUUUCAAUUUUGAGAACUAGUCAUGGCAGAGCAACUAUUCAUCAUUUCCAUGUGAGAGCUUAUCAUAAGGGUUCAUAGCAAACUUUAUUUAUUUAUUUAUUUUAGCAAACUAAGCAAAGAUAUAUAUAAAAGCACAAAAUCUUUAUUUGGGUUUUUUAUGAUUAUGCAUCUUUUUAUUAUUUGAGUAGAGUAUAAAUGCGAGUAGAAACACUUAGCUGGAUAAAUGGGGAUGCUCUCCCCCAAGCUGGAUUUUGACGUAAUUUCUUCUGAUGUAGCUAGCAGGUGGCGGAGGUGUAUUUGAAUGUCGACAGUACCCUGAGAGCGAUUAGGAUGUCCUUCGUCUGCUAGUCUUCUUUGAUCCUUGAAUUCUGUGGAGCUCAAAUAGACAACAAAGCUUUGUGGAACUAGUUCAGUCUUACCAUAAAUAUCUAGCCUUUAUCAUGUGGAGCCUCCUCAAUAAAUGUUAUUUAUUUAGCAAGAUCAUGCACUUAUUUUUAUAUUUUUAUUGUAAGAUGAAAACAUAUUUAUUUUAUGCAACCACAGUGAAUAUACCUAUGGGUUUUAUGCCAUGAGCAUACUCACAUGGGGCUUACUAUUUUUAACACUUUUAUUUUCUUUUCGAGAUGAUAUGAACCUGAUUAACUAAGCAAACUAUUUUAAAUAAUUGAAGAGAAAAUGAUAACUACCAAGUUUACCUCUUGGCAAGGCGUUCGGUAUUUUUAAGUCCUCCGAAUGGUACUCUCCAUUUUCUAAGUCAUCAUGGGAUUCGCUGGAUGGCGUAGUCGGUGGUUCCGGCGGCGCCUCCUCGGUGUAUAACUAUCUUCUCUCUCAAGACCUGACUCGGUGCUACGGUCUCCUCAGGAUAGUUCUAUUCAAGUUGUAUGUCUUCAGACCUUACUACUUCUCCUCCGUAGUCUGCCCAUUCGUCCUUGAUAUUUGCCUCCUCUGGUUUUGGUUGCGUCGCCUUCUUCAGAGGGAAGUGCAUGUGGACUUCUCCGAUUCCAAUAUAGAUGAUGGCUUUGAUAGUGCUGAGGAACGGUCUUCCAAGGAUGGUGGGUGGAUCAAACUCAUCUUCGCCCAUGUCAAUGACCUGAAAAUCAUCUGGAGCUGAAUAUAUAUUGGUUGUAGGGGCAUGGUUUCGUGCAGGAGCUGAUAAGUGACUACGGCCAUUAUGUUGUCGUCAAAUCUGGUGUCGUAGAGUGUCUUCUGAAAAGAGUAUCCAUUGAUUGUGCACUCGAUGCUUGGAACACCAGGGUCGUCCAUCUUGAUCAGGAAAGGCAACUUAAGUCGACGAUCUUGACCUCCUCCGACAAGGAUCCAAUGUUUUAAGUCUUCUAGACAAGACUUCUCACCGUCUUCAUCCUUUAUGUGCAUCAUUUGAUUAGGUGUGGACCUUGACGUCUGCACCUCUUGAUACGGAGUCACCCAUUUUCGUUGUUUGCCUAGCAGUUCGAAGUGCAGUGUUGGCAAUAUCCUACUCAGUGUGUUUGUGCUCGUAGAUCCAGGUCCUUCUGGGAGUUGUAAAACUCCUCCAUGUUUUGCUUGAAGUGUACCUGUUCAUAGAGACAAGGAAGAGAUCAAGUGCAUGGGCCCUGUUGGUGGAAAACACCAACAGAACCAAAAGUGUAUUUGUUCUUCUCUAACCUUAAGCAUAGUGAGCAAGACAAAGUUGAUGGAUCAUGAGUGUAGCAUUUGUCAGAUCAGAUGGCUCAACCUAAUGGAAAAAUAAUCUAUCUAUAUUUAUGUUUUGUUUAUAUCUUCCAAAGAUUGAAUGUGCUACAUUUUAGCUUACUAGGAACAAAGAUUGAAGGACUAAACAUGUUGAAUCAGUUGAGUUGGUUAAUUUGGAGUUAUAAAUCAUACAUGUUUGUCUCUUUAUUUUAUGUGAAUGCCAGAACCAAGGAGAAACUUAUAAAAGUAAUAGUCAAGUACCUUAAGGUGUUACCUUACUUGAAGAGUGAUGGUAUAGUAUCACCUUGUGGAAGAUUUCCUUUCUUAGCGGUUGUGCAUCGUGUUUGUGGCACCCUCCAUAGAUCAUCUCUUUAUGAUGAAUGAGCUAUGUCCUUCUUGUGUAAAUUGUUAAACUUCAUGUGUCUCCUUUAUCUCCAAUGAGUUCCUAUCUCAGGACUUCCCAGGUUGAUAUUCAAAGUUUUCCUGCAGGGGUUAGUCCAACAAAAUAUCCCAUAUCUACUAUAGCAUACUAUCGGAUCAAAAAUCAACCUAGACACCAUGUCUAAUUUGAUUUAGGAGGGCAUUUUAACCUAAGCACCAUGCUUAAUUUAAAAAUCCUUUGGAAGUAAGAUCAUCAAACCUAAACUAAGCACCAUGCUUAAUUAAGAGAUAAAUGAAACUACUCCAAGCCUAGUCAUAUACUAAAGCAAAUAAAGGUAGCAUGAGAGCAUUUAUAGAGUUCUACUCAAGUGGAGAUGAAGUAGUGUGAUUAGUAUUUAACAAAUUGAGCAUGUCUCAAAGGUAAGGACAACCAACAUAGCAACAUGGCAAAUGAUGUUUUUAUGUAAAGUACUCCCCCAAGCUUGAAUUUUGCAAAAUUCAAGUUUGGAUGAUUUAAUUCAAUGUUGUAUGAUGGUUGGUUGGACAUACAUUGUGCUUGUCAUUCAUCCGAUCCUCUUGCUCCAAUCCUGGAAAGGUUAGUGACAAGAAUACCCGAAGGAAUAUUUCUACAAUUAUCUUUAUAUGCUCAAUACACAAGGUAAUGUUGCAAAUAAUUAACACCUCAUGUUACGAUCUCAUCAGUGCUUGUUUUAGGACACUAAGCUUGUCCUUGGGAAACCAUCAAUUUAUGUUGGCGAAGUGGUUUCCCCUCGAACGCUGACCUAUAUCAAGAUCAACUCAACGAGAUCUGCAAUAUUUAUUAUAGACAUAUGCAUCGACAACCGCCCUUUUAAAGUUUUUAUAAAUAGAAAGGAAGAGGGGGUUGGAGAUCUCAAAUGCGCUGAUGUUGGAGAGACCAAUUGAUUGGGGAGAUAUCUUAUAUGAGCAAGGACUUGGUGAGGUAUUUAUGAAAUAACUUCCAUGCUCACUGUUGUUUCUCUCAUUCUAAAACUCGAAGGAUGAUUCUUCAUGAAUGCUAAAAAUUCCUCUAGGAUUGUCUCUCAACUUUGUUUUAUCCAUCCAUUCAAUGGUGAUAGCACAUGGAUUUUUAAGGCCCUCUAGCCAUUGAUGUUGCUCUUCUCAAUACUCCUUGUGGUCUUGGUGACUCUUAUGAAUGGGAUGUCUAGAGAGAUUCAUAGGAUCAUCGGGAGGUUCAAGAGAAAGAUCAUAGGAGAAAUUAUUAGGCUCAAGGAUGGGUUGGAUAGCCGAAUCAUGGGAUUGGAAUGUUUGGAAAUCGGCUAUUGAAACUUCCUUUCCUCGUCUGGGAGAUGAUUCCUUUUCUAUCUCUAGGAUUUUUUAUGAAGACUAGUGCAAGAAGAAUGUCCAUGAAUGAAGACAUAUCUUGCUUUACUAACAGAUAAAGAAAGAAAAACUCUACCAAAGGUUAUAUGAUUAAGAUCAAUGUGAAAAUAUCGAGGAAAACAUGGUUUUGUAGGGCUAGGUUUAAACCAAAAUUUAUAGAAAGAUUAAAAGAUUCCCUAGGUGUAGCUAAAAGUUCAUUAUCUUCUUGAUUAAAAGAUAGGACCUCGGCUAUAGAAAAGGGUUGGUUUUGACCUAUUGCAAUCAACUCCAGACACAAAUCAUAAUUAGGGGCAAAGAAAGGACUUGUUGACUCCCAUGGUCUAUGGCUGGUCUCCGAAUGUGCAAAAAAUUCAAUAAUAGGUGUGGAAUUUGAGUUAUCCACAAAGAUUAAAAUAAUAAAAAGAUAAAAGAAUAAAAGAAUAAUACAAGAUAAUAGCAAGACUUAAAGUUAUCUCAGCAAACUAUCUUUCUCCCCGGCAACGGCACCAGAAAUGCUUGUUGAUAUUUGGUAAUGCAAUCACGAAAUGAUCCACAAGCGCACGAAUAUCGGUGAGCACUUCACCCGGGAGGUUAUCCAAAGUAUCGUAUUUAUAUUUUUACCACUGGGAGAAAGCGUGCAUCUGACUAACUAAAUUUAUUGCUACUACCCUUUAGGCUACAAAGAAUGUUUCUCGAUGUGAGCGAUGUAUACAGAAAACUACAACCGUAGUCUUGUUCUAACCUUGGUAAGGAUGAUCUACUGUUCUAUUGGGGAAGCUUGCGGAAUCUAGACACCACAAAGGAUGUUUGACCCGCACCUAUAAACCCUACCCGUCCUGCUAACGAGAUGUGGAAUGCAAAUGUAACUUGGAAAUGUCACGUUCCUUGCUACUACCACGGUCCAGCUAGUCAGGGGGUAUCUAUGAGUUCCCUAGCCCAAACAUCACGUUUACUCUAGCAAUGAUUACUCUAAACUCAACCGGAAGAGAUUAAAGUAAACUCAUAAACCAAAGAACAAUAAAACAAGAACUUACUAGAAUUUAGAAGUCGAAAUACUGAAGAAUCCUAGGAGCCAGCCUCGGGUUAGAAGACUUGAUCCCGCAGGUUCAACCUCGGAGUAGACACCGAUAGGCCGGGCUUCCUCCGAUCUACACCUCCACUCUAUCUCUCUCAAUCUAGUAGAUCUAGUCUACUCACAUUGGAUGCUAAGCCCUAAGUCUAUUUAGAGGAGAGGUAUUCCUUCGAGGGCUCCUCUCAACUCUAUGAUGAACUUGUUCUCCUCCAGGGGCCAGGGGGUCUGCUUAUAUAGUUCCCUCAAUGGAUUCUGGGCUGUCAGAUCAAACCGACAUUGACUGAACGAUUAUCCUUGAUCCUUUAGGUCGGUGGAGCGAAAUCCGCGAGACGGGACCUGAUUGGUCUCUACCUCAGGGCAGGCGCCCUGCCCCCGGGAACGAUCACCUUCCUGUUCAUUCCCGUGGCUUAUGGAGUCUUCUAGAUGAUGGAAAAUUAUGCGGCACGUUAAUGUCUCUAUGUAAACCGGACGUGUGGUCCUUUCUUCCAUAUUUCCUGAUAACCCCCUGCAAAAAUAGACAAUCACCAAAACUCAUGGAAUUCUGUCAGAUAAAACCCUAAGUCUGGGUGUUGGUUGCAUUUGUAUCUUUUUCUUUAUUUAUUUGAUGAUUAUAUUUGGUACUUAAGGACCAUCAACACACAGCACAUGGCUGGUGAUUCUCACCAUCAACAACCUUCCUCCAUGGUUGAUGCAGAAGCGAAAAUACUUUUUGCUAACCAUACUUAUCUCUAGACCAGUCCAACCUUGAGUUGACAUGGAUGUUUUCUUGGAGACCUUAAUGGAGGAGAUGAAAAUGUUAUGGAUACAAGGUGUUCAAAUGAUGGAUGAGUAUCGCAAAGAUUCAUUCACACUGAGAGCAAUUAAUUUUGUUAUGAUCAAUGAUUACACUGCUCUCUUCACAUUGUCAGGGCAAAUCAAGGGAAAGGUUGGUUGUGUGGAUUGCAUAGAUGGAACCCAUUACAUGUCCCUUAAUGCAUCUAAUAAAAUAGUGUACAUGAGGCAUAGAUGCUUCUUAUCAAAAGGGCAUAGGUACCGCCUAAAAAAGAUGGAUAAGUACUUCGACAAUAAUGAUGAAAGGAACUCAGAUGCACCAUCAGGUAAUAGCAAAGGCCAGAGUGUUUUCAAAAUAGUGAGCAACAUCAACAUUGUCUUCAGAAAGAAGACAAAGGAUGGAAAACCAAGAAAGGAUGUCAAACCAACUCUAGGGGCAACAUUCAAGAAGAAGACCAUUUUCUUCGAGUAUUUGUCAUACUGGGAAGAAUUAGACAUACGACACGCGAUCGAUGGUAUGCACAUCCAGAAGAACGUGUUCGAAAGCCUAAUUGGCACAUUGCUAGAUAUCAAGACGAAGACAAAGGAAGGACUCAAUCCACGCUUCGACAUGGUAUAGUUAGGUAUAAAAAAAGAGCUUCAUCCUAUUCUUCAAGAAAAUUUAAAGUACCAUCUCCCAGCAGCAAGCUACAACCUCAACAUAGAUGAGAAACAUGUGAUGUGUGAGUGGUUGAAGAAUUUGAAAGUCCCCUCUGGGUUCUGCUCUAGUAUACAGAGUAUUGUGUCAAUGAAAGACCUUACACUCACCAACUACAACACACAUGAUUGUCAUGUAAUGCUGACUACUUCCCUCCCUAUUGCAAUAAGGGCUAUAAAUCCAGUGUUCUUGAAGAUAGCAGUCACACAAUUGUGCUACUUUUUCAAUAAGGUCACACAAAAGGUAAUUGACCGUGAUAAGUUAGAAUCCCUUCAGGAAUUCACACUGGAGAGAGUGUCACAGUUUGAGAUGUGUUUUCCCCAAUUAUUCUUCGAUAUCAUGGUUCACCUUGUGGUGCACUUGGUUCCACAAAUACAAGCAUUGGGUCCCAUGUACCUGCAUGAAAUGUGGACGUAUGAGUGUUUCAUGGCAAUACUAAAUGGCUAUGUAUCAACUCAUGCCCAUCCUGAGGUAUCCAUGGUAGAUGGGUACUGUACUAAAGAGGCAAUUGAGUGGAGGACCAUUCUGCAAUGGUGUCCUAAAAGGCAAGGUCGCAAUAGUUUGCCUCCGUCAAGGCAUGAGGGUAGGCUGCAUGGAAGUGGGAAGAUUGGACAGAAAUCGUUCAUCCCGCUAGAUUACAAUGCAGUCCUUGAGGCACAUCACAGCAUCUUACAUCAGCUCUCUACAAUGGAGCAUUUGCUCGAUCAACACUUGAAUGAGCUUCAAGAACAUAAUCCUGGGCAAACGAAUGAUUGGGUAAUGAAGGAACACAAUAAGCAAUUGUACACAUGGCUAAGGGAGCAGGAUAUUCCAUCUAGGGAAACAAUUGAGGAACAAACCAUCAAGGCUUUGGCACCUGGACCAUCACGCCAAGUGACAACAUGGCAAACCUAUGACAUAUGUGGAUUCACAUUUCAUACCAAGUACAAGGAUAAAAAGAGCAUGACACAAAAUAGUGGAGUUCGAUGCGAUGCCAUAGACGACAAAACUGGUGAUAUUAUUACAUACUUUGGCUUCAUCGAGGGCAUAUGCGAACUAGACUAUGGUACAUUUUAGAUCCCUAUGUUUUGUUGUCAAUGGGUAGAAGAUAAACAUGUCACAGUGGAUAAUUAUGGGGAUAGAGUUCUUGAUCUCACUAAGGUGGGAUACAAAUAUGACCCAUGGAUCCUUGGUAACCGUGCUACACAGGUGUUCUAUGCUGAGCAGAUCCUUUCUAAGAAUGAGAAGAAAACUACUGAUAAGCCGAAGCAUGUAGUUUUUCUAGGAAAGCAACAAGCAAUAGAAGUUGAUGGUGUAGCGGAUCUAGAGGAUAUUAACUAGUUUAGCGACAUGUCUCUCUUUGUGGACGACCAUCCUGCGAAGAUAAGAAAUAUUGAGCGAAGCAUCCCACAAAGUUCUUUGCCUUGGGUGCGCCCUGAUGGACAAGGAAGAAUAGUAACUGCCUAGAUUGUAUUUGUCAUUCAUCAUGUAAACUCUAGUCAUCAUAUAAUCUCACUCAAACUUUAUGAAACUAUAUGUGAGACCUUUGGAUUUAGAACUACACUUUCGUAACGCUUUGUCAAAUGCAAAAAUGUGCUAUGUGUAAAAUGUAGAUCUUGAUGAGUGGAACAAACUUUCUAUUCAUGACAUUUCGAGUUGGGGCCGUCUAGGGUCCCGAAAUCAACAUAAUUAUGUUACAAAUAAAGAAUAUAGAAAAAUUAUGUUACAAAUAAUGUAGAAAUAGUAUAAUCAUAUUAUAAUAUCAAUAUACAAAUAAUACAUAACAUUAAAAAUAAAAAAAAUGUAGAAACAAUAUAAUUAUAUUAUAAUAUCAAUACACAAAUAAUAUAUAUAAACAACAUAAUUAUGUUACAAAUAAAGAAUAUAGAAAAAUUAUGUUACAAAAAAUGUAGAAAUAAUAUAAUCAUAUUAUAAUAUCAAUAUACAAAUAAUAUAUAACAUUAAAAAUAAAAAAGAAAUGUAGAAACAAUAUAAUUAUAUUACAAUAUCAAUACUGUCAACUAAUAUAUAUAUAAACAACAUAAUUAUGUUACAAAUAAAGAAUAUAGAAAAAUUAUGUUACAAAAAAUGUAGAAACAAUACAAUCAUAUUAUAAUAUCAAUGUACAAAUAAUAUAUAACAUUAAAAAUAAAAAAGAAAUGUAGAAACAAUAUAAUUAUAUUAUAAUAUCAAUACACAAAUAUUAUAUAUAAAUAACAUAAUUAUGUUACAAAUAAAGAAUAUAGAAAAAUUAUGUUAAAAAUAAUGUCGAAACAAUAUAAUCAUAUUAUAAUAUCAAUAUACAAAUAAUAUAUAACAUUAAAAAUAAAAAAGGAAAUGUAGAAACAAUAUAAUUAUAUUAUAAUAUCAAUACACAAAUAAUAUAUAUAAACAACAUAAUUAUGUUACAAAUAAAGAAUAGAGAAAAUUAUGUUACAAAUAAUGUAGAAACAAUAUAAUCAUAUUAUAAUAUCAAUAUACAAAUAAUAUAUAACAUUAAAAAUAAAAAAGAUAUGUAUAAACAAUAUAAUUAUAUUAUAAUAUCAAUACACAAAUAAUAUAUAUAAACAACAUAAUUAUGUUACAAAUAAAGAAUAUAGAAAAAUUAUGUUACAAAAAAUGUAGAAACAAUGUAAUCAUAUUAUAAUAUCAAUAUACAAAUAAUUUUGUAGAAACAAUAUAAUAGAAAUUAUUUUGUACAGGUGGUUGGCAUUGAGCACCGCCUGUAGAAAUACAAUUCUACAGGCGGUGGUCAAUGCCAACCGCGUGUACAAAAGCAUUUCUAGAGGUGGUUCGCAUUGAGAACCGCCUGUAGAAAUGAUUUCUACAGGCGGCUCUCAAUGUGAACCGCCUGUAGAAAUGCCGCCUACGUAUAUUCCGUGCCCAGACCCAUGAGAAUUUCUAUAUCCUGAAGGCGUCACUCAGAUCAAAUGACGCCGUCAGGCUGCGCAUUUUUUCCGCCACCGCCGCCACCGGUCUUGGCGCCGCUGUUUCCUCUGCACCGUCCUCUUCUCCGACCCCCGACGCCACCAGGUAUGCCCGCCCUCUCUCUUCUCCGGUCUCUGUGCCUGCCGCCGCUCUAUUCUCCGGUCACAGUGCGGCCACGCUGCAGCCGCCGCCGCCGCCCCGCUGCUGCCCCACGGCCUCCCCGCCGCCGCCGCCGACCACCCCCACCACCCCGUUCCCCACCCCCUCCCCUCCCCUGCGUACCACAAAGGUUGAAGAAGAUCCCCUACGCUCGAGGUUGAAGAAACCUCCUCUACGCUCGAGGUUUAAGAAGAUCCUAACGUGUGGGGCCCACACGUCAGUGACUCAGAUGAAUCUCUCUUUUUUGCAGGAAAUUGACUGAUCUUUGGAAAAUCAUAGUAAAUGCUAAAAAAUCGUAAUAUAACAAAUGUAGACUUUUUGAAAUUCCUGUGAAAUUCUCUAUGUAGUAGAUCUAUAAUAUUACAUGUUUUUGUUUGAAGUUUUAGCUGUAAAAAUAGAUUUAUGCAGCUAUGAUUUUAAUGUUAGUUGACAUUGUCUUUUACAUAUCUUCUGCUAUAGAGCUCCAAAUGAAGUGAAAUAUCUGUGGCCUGCUUCUCAUGUGAUGUUUGUUGUAUGGUAAAAUUUGCAUGACUUGUGGUUGCAGCAUAAAUGAGUUAUGCAUUAAACCUGCAUGAAUGAGUUUGUCUUGAUAAAAUGGUUUAUAAUUAUAAAUAAAUAUGUAAAAAUGGAAAAUAUUGUUCCAGUACAAUUUGAUGAUAUUGUUGUAUCAGUUUUAUAUAUAAUAUGGUAAUGUGUUUGAAGAAAAUAUGAUUUGUGCAUUUAUCUUACUCUCACAUGAUUAAUUGCAAUGGUAAUUUCUCUUUUUCAUAGAGAUUGCUAUGUUUAUUCAAAUGCAAUGAAAUUUGUGUAGUAGACUAUGGAUUGUAUGUAGAAGGUACUGUAAUUUUUGUAGAUUUUACUUUGCACUUUUGGUAUAUGCUCUUUAAUUCAACUUACUAAUCUAUCUUGCGGUAAAGUUCCUUGUCAUUUGCCUAAGUCUCAUGUCUAUGUAUAUACAUGAUGCAUAUGCUAAGUAAUUAUUAUUUAUCUUUUAUAAUAAAUAUUUACUUUUAAUUUAAGUGUCUAUGUAUAUACAUGAUGCUUAUGCGAGGUUUGUGAUGCUUAUUUUAGGGUUUAGCACUUAGACUUUUAAUAAAUAUUUGUGAUAACAUAUAUGCUUUAGAAUCUCGCAAUGACAACUGCUCCAAGUGAAAUCACGGAGUAGGCACAAGGGUCCGGCCCUAUGGAGCAAGCACCAGGGUCCGGCCCCACGGUGCAAGAAAAAGGGUCCGACCGCACCGAGAAGGCACCAGGGUCCAGCCCCACCGUGCAAGAAAAAGGGUCCGACCGCACCGAGAAGGCACCAGGGUCUAGCCCCACCGUGCAAGAAAAAGGGUCCGACCGCACAGAGCAAGAAAAAGGGCCCGAGCACACGGAGAAGGAACAAGGGUCCCACAACACGGAGCAGGCAGAAGGGUCACGUGAGUCAACUCCUUCGUAUGAGACCUCGGUAAGCGACAUUCCUGAUCCUCGCACAGAGAGGAACGCCCGUCGUGAGUACGCACGUGGCCCCGAUUACAACCCGGAGGGAGAAGAGGUGAAUUCCUCAUCCAUAAUUAUAUGUUUCUAUACUUUUAUGCGCCUCCGUAUAUGUGAAGAAUAAUACAUGUCUUUAUAUAAAUAGGAGGUGCUAUCUCAAUUGAAAGAAAUGGAGGAAAUCCUAUCCCAAGAAGAAGUUGCAAAUGAAGGUGCACCUGAGCCAACGACGGAGACGACCACUGAGACAGAGACCAAAAGGAAAUGAGGUGAAAGAGGAUGGAAUCAGUUUCCAAAAGUAACCUAUAGAGUUACAGAUGUCAGUGCGACAGGACAACCCUUAGCUCCAGAGAAGACCUUACCUAAGUGGCGUAACGCACUCGGUUUCUUAGUUAGGGACCAUCUUGACAUCACAGUUAGGGAGUGGAAAAAUAUGGACAAAAAUGAGAUCGCAACAAUGUGGAACAAGCUGCUUACGAGGUUUGUUUUACCUCAGGGUUCAGAAGACCUCAUAAAAGAGCACACAUUGAAGCAAUGGGCGAUCAUGUUCAGGAAUUACAAGUCUCAGUUGAAUUCAAAGUGGGCAAAGAAAUGGCUGGACUGGACACAGAGGUAUAAAAUCUUGGCUGGUCAGUGGGCAGUGUUUCUAGAGCAGAGGAGUUCUGAUGACUUCAAAGCUUUGAGCGAAUCCAAAUCCAAACUCGAAAAAAGGAACAAGUACCACCACCACCUAGGCACAGGUGGUUACCAGCACAAGCUUGCCCAAUGGGAGCAAGAGGAUGAAGCGCAGAGGGCUAAGGGUUUGUCGGCGCUCCCUGACCAACUUGGUCACAAGGGCUAGCGGUGGGUUCGUGCUCGGGUACCGGCAAAGAAAGCCAAUUCUGGCUUGUCAUUUGCUGACCCAAUGGUCGAAGAGGCUACGAAGAAUAUUUUCAAGGUGGCAGCUAAGCAGCAAGCAGGCGAAUUUAAGCCACAAAGGGAGAAGGAUGUUCUUACUGUUGCUCUGGGUAACCUAGAGCAUCAUGGUUGUGUACGAGGUAUCUCAUCCAAGGAAUGAUGGAAAGAAGGAUUCAGACCAGAGUGUGAAGGAAUGUAUAGAAAACGCGAUUGCUACAAGGAAGAAUUGUCUAAUUGUUUUAAGUAGGAGGCUAAGAAAGAAGUCGAAUAGGUGAUGAAUAAAAUGCUCUCUGAUCCGCCUCCUGAGUUGAUGCAGCGAUUGGUGUCUGCAAUCUCUAGCCAAUUGAGUGGUCAGCCUCGUCAGAUGCAACUAGUGGUUGCCUCGACAGCAUCACAAUAGGCUCCAGUUGUCCCAAGCAUUGUCGCAUCUACUAGAAACAAGGACCGCUAUCCAGUUGACAAGAUUGAAUGUCCUGUUCGUUGCUCCCUAGUCAUAAGGUACGGUCUUAACAAUAAUCGUAAGAGGGAAGUAGCCACAGGACUUGCGAUCCCGAGGCGCCAGUUUUAUGGUAGCGAAAUUCCAAAGGACUAUUGUAGGGUGGAAGUGCUGACAGUUGUCCAAGGAUAUGAGGAUGACAUGCUAGACAUUUCUGGUCCUAAGGGUAUUGAGAACCUGGGACAAGCUAUCAAGAAUUUCAUUCAUUGGCCUCUAUAGGACGUCCUGUUGUCUGAGCUACCACAACCGUCGUCCCGAGAUGUACCACUGACUCAGGAGUCGUCCCUUCCAGAUGUCGGUGGUACCGUAUAUCUUCCGAGUCCACCACCCUCUCUGAUCUUCGUUCCACCAUCCUCACCUAUAAUGCCUCACCCACCAUCCCCACCACCAUCACCUAAACCACAACCUUCGCCAGCACCACCAGAAUCUUCCACACCACCACCACCCAAAAAUGGCGAGACACCACCACAACCAACCAAAGAUGACGAGAUGACACCACCGCCACCAAAAAAGAUAAAAUUUUCGAUGCCUAAAUUGAUUUCCCCGUAAGAGCCAAAGAAGAGGAAGUCUGCUAGUACUGCCCUAUUUUUGUCAGGAAUUGCAAUGAGAUGCACGACAAAAAUAGUUGACUUGGCUGAGCAUGAGAAGGAAGCGAAGAAGUCUGAACUAGCUUUUGUAAAUAUCAGGCCACCCACAAAAGAUGAUUAUAAAUAUGUCCCUAAUUAAUAUGAGCUGGGUAGGCCUCUACUCACUUGGGAUAAACAUAAAAAGGUCCCAGCUGGUGUAAAAAGGUUCCACGAGUGGUAUAUGAGAGCAUCUUCUAUUGGCAUCGACACGAUCAGUGUAGAUAUACCAGCAGAGUGAUCGUACAAGAGCAAUUGUGACCUUUGAGGACAUGUGGUUAAUGAUGCACCUACAAAGACACGACGUGCAGCUCAUAACUGUGUUUGCAUUGUAAGUGUCACUCAUACAAUGCUUUAAAUUUGUGAGUUGCAUUAAUUUUAAUACUAACAUACAAGUACACGUUGCAAAAUGCAAUAUGAACAGCAACAGAUGCGGUACGGUCCAGAUCCAAGUACUAAUGCCAGUAAAAGGGUCACCUAUAUGAGCCCAAUGAGGAUAUGUGAUGACGAGCACACUUUCAGGAUCGGAAAAGAUCACGACUCCUUAAAAGGUUUGUAUCCAAAAGAGCGUGAGGACGAAAUACAGAAAAAGGAAAAGAAUCAAAUAGCUCGUUACGGCCUCUACCUAGCCAUGAUUAUGCUACAGUUUCAAGACAGGGAAUUAAUAUUCGCACCAUAUAACUUUCGGUAAGUGUCAGUUUGCAUGCAUCGUAUUAAUAGUUAAAAUGCGCACUUUGAUCACAAAGUUGAUUCUCUCAGAGACCCCUGGAUCUGCUUAAUGAUUAAUCCCAGACUUGGACGUGUGCAUGUCCUAGACUCCGCAGACUAUGAACCAACAACUUAUGCACCUUCAUUACUCUCUUAGAAUGGUAAGCCAAGUAAAAUAUGCAUACAAAAUUUUAUAAGAGUUUGACAAUAACUUGCAGAUUGUUUUCGAUAUCAUAGGGCCUAUAGGUUCUAUAAGAUUAAAGGGGGAAGGUGUGAGUCAGAAAUACAGAGGCAGCCUUUGAGAUUCUUUUAUAAGUGGCCGGUAUGUAUUAAAGUUUACCAAGUUAUUCUCGCUAGCUAUAUACAUAGAAUACGCAUCAUGUUGCAACUCACAAAUAUGCUCUUUUUCUUUAUAUAGUGUCACAAGCAACCACUCGGAUCGGUCCACUGUGGAUUCUACGUCUGUGAGUUCAUGAGAGAGGGCGGAAGAUAUAUCAGUAACCCUUAUAAGGUAAUUAAUGCUCUAAGUAAUUAAGGUUGUGUGAUUAAGGUUGUUAAUUAUGAACAUUAAAUAUAUGAUGUGUUCUAACUUUCUAUGCAGCAAAAAGACUUUGAAAAGGCGAAGAGCACGGGUGAAGCCACUUUAUACAACAUAGUUGAGGACCUCUGCAAAUUCAUCUUGAGAGAAGUCAUUCCCAGCAAUGGGAAAUAUCACGAUCGGACCAGCGCUCUAGCAAAGCGUGAAUACGGAGCGCUAAGGGAGAUUAGUAGGCUAAAGCUAACUCGAUCCGGUUAUUUUAGAGCAGAGAUUUCAGAGGUGAAACCUCUAAUGCACGUAACAGAAAAAACUUGAUGUGUGAUCAUGUUUGUAAUUAAUGUAACCUUAUGUAUAAAGUAACAGUAUAUAUAUAAAUGAAUUACAUGUUGCAAUGGUUGACAUGAUCUCUAGGCCUUAGUAGUUGCAAUAUUAUGUGUGUAUGUAUAUAUGUAUGUUGUAUGUACAUAUUAAAAUAUCAAAUGAAAAAUAGGGUCUGGUGGGAAAAUUUGGGAAAUUGGCGGGAGAUUUAAAAAUUUCAACACAGGCGGUUAUAUAAUGAGAACCGCCUUUAGAAAAUACAUUUCUACAAGCAGGUGGCAUAAAUGAACCGUCUAUAGAAAAGAAUUUUCUACAGGCGGGUGGCAUAAAUGUAUUGCUACAGGCGGUUCUAAGUUACCCACCUGUGGAAACUCUUGAUUUCCACAGGUACCCAGCGCAGGCGGUUCUCCAAUCCACCUGUGGAAAGAGGUUGGGAACCGCCUGUAUAGUGGUUCUACUAGUGCUUAUGCCAACACAAAUCAGUUUUUUUCUAGUUUAAAGUUGUGUCAAAGGUGAUCUAUUUUAUUCUCGAAACACAAAGACUACAAAUGAUGUCUAUAAAAAUAGCAACGAACUAAAGCAGCAACCUUAAUAUAAAAUAUCAAUAUUUAAUAUAAAAUAUAUACAAUAACAGUCAUCUGAAAUGAAACUAAAAUUCAGUGAAGUCCCUCAACUAAUAAAUUGAAGUAAAAAAUUCAUACUUGUUAAGAAAGGAAUAAAAAAUUAUCCCAUACAACAAUACUCCAUCCAUUCUAAACUAAAAGACGUUUUGACUUUUUUAAAUAUAUAGUUUUUAUUACGCACUAAAAUAUACUAUACCUAAAUACACAAUAGAAGAAAUAUAUUAAAAAAACUAAAAAGUUUUAUAAAUUAGACCACGGGAAUACAUCACUACAGGAAUCGGGUACUUUGCCGAGAGUCCGAGCACUCGGCAAAGGGCCCUUAAGCUCUCGGCAAAGCCUUUGUCGAGCGCCCGCUCAGCAAAGACCGCUCGGCAAAGCCUUAAUCGACAAAGGCAGUCUUUGCCGAGUGCCACGUGGCAGGAGCUCGGCAAAGGCUUUGCCGAGAGCCACGUCAGCACUCCGCAAAGGCUGACGGCCGUCUCGCGGGAGGCGUUACUUGACGGCUCUUUGCCGAGAGCCACCAUGGCCGGCUCUCGGCAAAGGCUUUUUUUUUAAAAAACUCUUUGCCGAGCGCCUUCCUAGCUGGCUCUCGCAAAAGAUUAUUUAUUUAUUUUUUUUGAAAAAAUUCUUUGGCGAGCGCCUUUCUGGCUGGCGCUCGGCAAAGAAUAUUCCUUUUUUUAAAAUUCUUUGCCGAGUGCCUGGUGGCUGGCACUCGGCAAAGCUGAGAUGUGCCCAGCUUUGCCGAGAGCCAACACUUGGCAAAGCUGAGAUUUUUGCUGUUUUUUAGAUUUUUGCUGUUUUUUCACUCAAUUCAGAGUAGACAAUAUAAUAGAACCUGCAUAACAUAUAUAGUCACAAAUCGACACGUGCAUCCAUCAAUGGUCACAAAUCCGCAUACAGAAUAGUUGACAUUCAUCCAAUCACAAAUUCGCAUACACAAAGUUCACAAAUCCGCCUAACAUAUCCAUCACAAGCAUAACAUGUCCAUAUCACUGGUCCGGCUGCGACCCGGCGUCCCCGUGUCCCUAGGAAGAGCCCUCACCUGGCCACCCCUGCUGUGGCCAACCUGCUGGGUGCUGAGGCCGCAACCUAACCACGGCGACCACCCGUGCGUCUGAGGCGGAGAAGCGCCAGCUGACCACGGACCCCACCCAUACGUCUGAGGCCGAGGAGGAGCACCUGGCCACGUCUGCUGUGGAGUCUGCUGGACCUGACACCCAUGGCCUGGAGAAGCGUCGUCUUGAGGAGUUCGGUUCGACCGGUGCGACUGUGCCUUCACAAAGUAGGAGCAAUGCCAUUAGUACUUUCAUGAUGUACGUAGAAGACAAAGCAAUGUGCACUCGUAUAUACUCACUAGAGACGGUACUACAGUGCUAGGAAGAGGGAGUGGAGCGAACAGCGAGGCAGGCAGCGGAGGCGUGACCACAUCAGGGAUCUGAAUGGAGGUGAAGUAGUUAGUGAAGUCCUGCAUCUGACGCUGUUGGUGCUGUUGAAACGCCUUGAACUGGCGCGCCAGCUCUUGGCGAUGGGCCUCGUUCUGACACGCUAUCUCCUGCCGAUGGGCCUCCUCCGCGGACUCCUGACUGGCCCGCAACUCGGCCAACUGGGACUGCAAUAACACACCCGUGAUGCUUGAAUAAUGCAGUAGGUACGUAUGUAAAGUCUAUGAACGACGCAUAAAAAUAUAGUUACCUGGAAAGACGGCUGCCGAGCUCAUCUGGGGACAUCGGAGGAGGUCGUGCUGCUCGCCUGUCGCAUCUGGCGGAGCGUGGGCACAAUGGUCGGGUCGACGGCGCUGUGGGCCAUAUAGUACCGCCCGUGCUGCUUCCCUCUUCCAGCCCUCAUCAGGAUCUCUGUGUUGAUAGGCUCGGUGGCUGGGUCGAAGUCAUCACCGUGGCGCGCGCGAGCAUGUGAGGUGUACUCGGCCAUCUUCUCAUAGGCGUUCGGGUUGGUGUACGCCUCGGCCUCGUCCGCGGGGCUGUAGACGUUGUUCGGAUCGUCCGCUCGGCCCUUGUGUGCAAGGGCGUACCCUAUGUGCUCGUUGAUGACUAUGCCACCAUGCGACUAGGACUGCGAGAAAAACACAAGGAUGAUUACACGUAAUGAGAAUGAAUACAUUAAUGAAUAUACAAAUGAAAUGAACAAAAGCGUACCCAUGUGUCCAUGUACCCUGGGAGGGAGCGGCUCCCUUGGUUGUGAGCCGGUCCUGGCAUCUGCAGGCGGUACGCCCGUCUGGCUCUCCGCUCGGCGUACGCAUCCGACCUUCUCCACCAGUCUACAAUGGCCUCCCAGCAGUCAAGAUGGCCCUUGCACCAUUCAGCAGGAAACUGCAUUUGACACGUCAUAAGAUGAAUCAAAAGAAAUGUAGCGUACUUAUUUUUUCAUGGAUGGAAUUAGAAGUAAUGUUUCAUACUUACCUGUAUGUACUGCUCCCUAGUGAGGUCGGUGUCGGGAUCCAGGAUCAUCUCCCUAGCCUGGCUCUUGCCCACCGACCGGCCAAGGACGUCGGCGUUGUAGGUGACGACGCACUGGAUGCACGCCUCGUGGUACAUGUCCUUGACCCAGUCUUUGCAGGUCUCCUCCUGCGCAUACGCAACCCUAUCCGCGGGGGCACCAUCCUCUAUCACAUACCACUCCUGCAUACAUACAUCAUGCAUCAUUUCAAUAUUUCAAGAACAAAUGCAUAAUAUUGAGCAACGUUGUGCGAUGGUGACUCACCCAGAACUCGACCUUGAUGACCUGCGCGAUGGGAACAUCGUUCUCGUCCAACGCGCUGUAGAAGUGGUCCCACGUGAAGGCUGGCUCACGUCUCCCUUUGUGGGUGAUGAAACCAGGGUAGUGCUUCUUAAUGAGGAGGCCCUAGAUAGAACUAGGGUUGCGGAAUUUGCCCACACUCACAACGUGAAACCUGCACGAUUCAUUAAGAAAAAUUGUUAGUGUAAAGUUUGAUUUUCAACAUGUCAUAUGAAUAAGUCGUGAAAACAUGAAUGUUUACUUACUUAUCACCCACGGGUCGAAUCAUCCCACGUGAGUGUGCCACAAGCGCCGAGGCAGGGAGGCGCGUGACCCCGCGCUAGUAGGGUGUAACAUCCCUGAUGUUACGAACACUAAAACGGGAUCAUGUCAUCAUAAGCAUUGCAAAGCAUAUUUGUUAAGCACAUCAUGAUGCAUCAAUUUAAAAUAAGUUUAAUUGGUUGAUUGUGCUUAGGGAAUUAAAGUGUGUUUAUUUUGUGAAGUGGUGCUUGUGAUGGAUGUUUAAUCCCUAGCUAAGGAGGGUGGUAAGGGAAUAGCUAAGGAAAAACCCUAAUUUCAAUCCUAGUUUUUACCCCUUUUGUGUAACUUAAAAACUAAGCAAAAUUUGGGGAUGAGUUCAAAAGCAAAGUUGUAGAUCUUGUCAAGGUGUACAACUUUGCUGUUUUGAGUUUUUGAAGUUUCAAUACAAAAUUGAAAGUAAUUUUGAAAAUACAGAUUUCCAAAAAUUGUCCCCUUUUCCAAUUUUAAUCCCUCAUUCAAAACCUAUUUGGAAUCUUGAAAAGUGAUCAAAAUGAAAGUUGUAGGGCUCAUCAAAAUGAACAACUUUUGUUUUGGGAGUUUUUCAAGUUGUUGAGAAAUAUCAAAAGUAAUUUUGAAAUUUCUCUUCUGCCCCAAUUUAAUUUAGAAUUUCCCCCAAUUUGAGAUUUGAAAUUCAAACUGUUUUGCUAAAUUCAAGUUUUCCACUCAGAAUUAGCUCUGGUCACUUAAAGAUAUUUUGUAGCUUGUAAAUUUCUGCACAACUUUUAUUUUGGUAAAUUUUUGACUGCAGUUCACUUUUUGGUCCAAAUUUUGCAAAACAGACAAAAAGGGGAUAUGGAUGGCUACAGUAGCCGAUGUGGAUCUCGGCGCCCUGUCCAGCGCGGCCGCCGCCCGUGCAGCGCCGCCUGCGUGCGUGAGGGCAUGCAGCUGCUUGCCCGCCUGAGUCGCCAGGCAACGUGGAGGCACGGCGUCUCCUCCUUUCGCGAUAAAAACCUUUCCAGCGGACGACGCGCUCGUUUCUUCUCUCGCACCCGACGCCGAUGACCUUGCUGCGCUCCUCCAAUUCACCUCGCCCACUCCCUUUCUAAGCCACCAGAGUACCCCAGCAGCUUUGCCAAGGUCUCAGCAACCAUUCGCGCCCCUUGAUGCAAGCUCUAACCAUCUCUAGCCCCGGCUACGUCCGUUCUUCCUCCACUCCGGCCAAAAACGCCGCCGAGGAGCACCUCAACGUGGCCAUGCCACCUCAGGCCUUCUCACAGCAAGCCGUGGUCACCAGAGGGUGCACAUAGGCCCAACCAUGCUCCAGCACCUCUCCCUUGUUGCCAACAGACGUUCACCGGUCGGAAAUCCGGCUUUCCCGUGCGCCUCCUCUGUUUUCAAUUCGCGCCAGGGACUUCUCGUUGGAAUUCGACACAAGGCAAGGGUCUAACUACGAAGUUCGUGACUCAGGUGAAUAGUGCUAUAAGGACUUGUUUGUAGAUGUUUUGUUGAAUCUUUGAAAAUUCAUAUCUGGAGUUUGGUAGCUCCAAUUUUGGUGAACCAAAUUUUGUUGUGCUCCUUGAGAUGUAUAGUUUUUAUUAAAAAUAUGAAACUGACCAUGUUUUGUAGUAAAAUAAUUAGUUAUGAUUUAUGCCUUUUAAUUAUGUUUAAAAAGGAGAAAUUCAUAUCUAAUUCUGUGUAGCUCCUAUGGGCCUGAAACUUUUAUGGUGUUCUCAUGAUGCUAUGUGAGUGUUACUGUAAAGAUUUCAUGUUCAGUGUAUGACAUAUGGUUAAGUUAUUAAUUUAUCUUGUUUAGUGCUUAUUAAAUUGUUUACAAUUAAACUAAAAAUAAAUAAAUGUAAAAUAUGGUUCCUCUACCUUUAUAUGAGGUUGUUAUAUCAUAUAGAUACAUAAUUUAGCUAUGUGUUUGUAGAAAAUGUCGAGUUUCUUAUUUAUCUCGUUGUUACAUGCUUCCUUGUGAUGGAAAUUUAUCUUUUUCCUAGAAAUUUCUAUACUUAUACAAAUGGCAUGAAAUUUAUACAGUAGACUUUGGAGAACAUAUAUGAGCUGCUGUAGUUUUGUCAGAAUUUACUGUGUACUUUUGAUACAUGGUUAUUACUUUGUCUAUUUACCUAAAUAAAUUAAUAAAGGCAUGAAAGGAAUUUAUUUAGGGAUAACCAUGAUGUUUUCUAGUAUCUCUUUGAUGUAUUUCAACUAUUGGUAAGCUGGAUUUUAAUAUAUGGUUGAAUGAAGUUGUGUAUAUGCUGCUGUCCUGGUUAUGUGUGCAAAUAGAGUUGUUUGUUUUUAGCUAGCCUUUACUUAAAUAAUGAGUAGCUUAAUUUCCAAAUUAGAAUUUGAGUGAUUUUGGAAUUGUAUGAUGACCGAAGGUCAUUAACCAUAAUGACCUUUGUCAUUUAUUUAUUGUUUGAUAUUAAUGCUUAAUUACUAUCAUUAAUAUUUAAUUAAGAAUUGAUUAAGAUAAAUAGAAAACCUAAUCAUUUUAGGUUUUGAUUGAUCUUUGGGAUUGAUUGACAACCAGUGGUUACUUGGCAUGAUAUGCUCCCUGGUUAUAGAUUAUUUCAUAUAAAUAAUCUUUGUUGUCUAAUAGCUACACAACCUUGCUUAAUGAAGAUGAUAAAAUUUGCUUAGUAGUAAUCUAUGCUUUGAUAACUAAGUUAGUUUGUUUCUAUACCGUGAUGGUAAGUUGUACUCGAGGUAGUUAUGUUUGUUGUUAUUAUCCAAGAACAUGUAACCUGUCUCUAUCAUGUCAUGAGUAUCUCAUUGAUCAUGCAUAUGCACUUCUACGUGUAGACUAUGCUCCGGAGGAAUCUGAUCCUCAGUGGGUUGCUUCUGAGUUUGUGGAUCCAUCUGGUUUUUCUGAGUUAUCAGACUUCCCUUCCCACCAAGGCAAGCCCCGGACAUUAAGCCCUAUCCUUGUAUUUUCAUAAAGUUAUUUAUAUCACUUGAGUUAAUAUGAUGCAUUAGGUGAAUAGGAGUUGAGUGAAUCCUAUUUGCUGCAUUAUCCACCUUGAUGAUUUCAAUAUUAACCUUGAUAUUUGUUUAAUGAAAAUGAUUAGUAUGCUUAGCCCUGUUUAUUAUAUAGGUUUUCAAAUGAGAAAGUUUGAAGGGUUGUUGUGGAAUACUUUUAUGGUCAAUGAUGUUUCAACUUGAGACCGGUCGGUGGACUUGCUUUAAGAAUGGAGUCUUAAAGUAGUGUCUCCAACUGUGUCGAUUAAGGACCGUUCUGUUGGUGGCCUGCUGUGAUUGAGACCUUUGAGUACAGCCCACAUGCGAUGGUAAGCCUUACCUAUAGCUAUUCCGAUACUUGAGAACGGCUAACCGCGUACUGGGAGUGGAGAGAUGGCGAGAGUAGCGUGUACCCACCUUACAGAUCUAAGAUGACCGAGAAACAUCUAGAUUGGCUGUAGGAUGGUGGUGUACUGUACUCUCGGGUGACGCUGGACCCGUUCUUGUAUGGGAGGAUCUAUAGAAACAGGUUGACAUAUGCAAGAUUAAGUUCUACAUAUGUCGUGUGGUACUGAAUCCCCAGCUGGGUUUAAUCGAUUCGAAUCGCCGUGUUUCCUCAGAUAUGGAGCCUCAAUCCUCACACCAUCAUCAUAGUAAUAAAUGGAUCUUUGGUAUAAGAAAGAGGUGGUAUGCUUAUGAAAGUUUGAUAAUAAUUUUGAUUAGUCAUAAAUGAUGAUCUUGAGUUAAAACUUGAAAGUAGGUUUUACUCUUAGUAAGCUUUUAUGCAAAAGAAAUGCUUUGAUCUUGCUAAAGCCUUACUUUGAAUCCCUAUAGCCUGCAUACCUGAGUCUUCACCUCUUUUCUAGUCGGUUAAGUCUUGUUGAGUACUUUUGUACUCAGGGUGCUGACUUAGACUGCUAUUGAAGUUUAUGUCGGUGGGCGUGACAUGAUUUAUCCACCUCUUCUACCUUAGAAGCUUCACCUAGGAUGCUUCCGCUACUCUACACACCUUUUGGAAAUUUAGUUAAGUUUGUAUUUCAUCAUAUUUGUAAAUUAAGUUAUAAAUCUUCCACACUCUGAUGUAAGUUAUUUUUGUAACAAAUGUUGUAAUGUUGUGGUAACUCCAUGUUGAUCCUGUAUGAGUUAAAAUGUGGAUGAUUCGGGGUCCUCCGAGGGCACCAGACAGACUAUCCAAGUUAUAUGACUCUCAUGUGCAGUAGUAAGAGGUCUUAAGGACAAUGUCAAGUGCAUGUGGGCCAUAUAAUUAGGGUGGUUCUGCCACAUAGGGCUUCCUCGAAGCUGAGGAAGUCGGCUCCAAUUGUGUCAUUGCUCACAAGUCAACGUUCUCAUCCUCAUCCUCAUCCAGGCCCUAGGCCUGGACCUGGGCCUGGUCCUCAUGUCACACCCUGGCUUUUAAAAUAAGACCAGAGUCGUCAUAUGUGUGCCCAGGAAGUCCACACAUACAAUAAAGAAUAGAAAUAUCAGAAACAAUGUUAUAUAUAGCGGAAAACAUACUUAUAUUAACACUUACAAACAUCAGAGUACGCGGAAACAGUAGCUAAACUUCUUAGGCUCCAUUCUUCUUAGGAACGGUUGACUGGGCGCUCCGUACGCCAAGCACUUCUGAUAAGCUUCUAGAAAACUCCAUAGCAUCUCUAUCCUUCUUCUGAGCAGCACUUUACUACACUCUGGGUGUGGGGGUAAUAGCAAUGGUGAGCUCAUGUCGAACUCAGCAAGCACAGACGGAAAGUAAUGACAUGCAAGGCUUAAAACAAGGUAAAGCUGACUUGGUUUGACUGCGGUAGCAUUUUAGUUAAUCACUUUUAAUUAUGACUAUUAUUAGAACAACCUACUACUAAUUAUGAGUAGCAUAAACCCAACCCUUAAUUAGUGUAAGUAGUAAUUAGCAUCUUUUUAAUGACUAUCCUAAUAAUUAUAGUAGUCCAGGGAUUAACCCCAAUUAUUAACACAAGAUAGCAAUCCUGCCAACACGGAAUAGUCAUUCCGCCAAAGAACGAGGUAGCAACCUCGCCAAGUUCCAUCUCCAAGUAUCCAGUGAAUCCAAUUUGCUCAUCAAGUGAGGGUCUGGGCCGCUCGUGACCGUGAGCACGGCUGAUAUAUCAGUUUUACACUCUGUAGAGGUGUGCACGUUCACUCCAAGUCGUGAUUCCCAUUUGCCUGGGGUCAUGACUCCCCAAAACACUGCCAUGGUGAGCAGGCAGGGUCUCACUACGAGACCUUUCACAGGGUCCAACUAAUAGGAUGCCACUCGCAAGUUUUUGCCGGGGCGCUCGACAGUUGAUACCCAUAGCCAUGGCGUACCGGGCAGCCGCUAACUUAAUAUUCAUUACCCAAGUUACUUCCUCACGCCUACCCGGAAAGUAACACCCUACUAGUGGAGGUCCUGCUAAUUAGUCAAGCCAGAGCCAUAUAGCUUGGAGCUGCACUGUAAGUCCCACGGGGCCGCUCCCUGACUAAGUCCUUACGGAGAGCAGAGACGGGUACGCCCGACAAACCAGACCACCAACAGUACCCUCUCCCCCUGUCACCACCAUCAUCACGAUGCUCGUAAGCAUCCAACAUCGCCAUCACCGCAGUGACCAAAGGUUCAGCACAGUUUAAGCAUCAAGUUAAGUAGAGAGUAAUUCUUGUUUAAGCAUGUGUAUAAGAUGAGUAGAGCAGCUAAGCAAACCUAGUAUAGCCUAGACUACCCAUAUACAUAACCCUAGGUGAACAAGGAAUAAUAUGUAAAUCUAGUCAUGUCCUUUGGGUUUGCAUUCAUUGGACACAUGCAUGUAAAGUUAAUGACAUUAAUGAGUAGGUUCAAAAUGAUCAAACGGUGUCUGCACUUGCCUUAAUUCCCAGUGUAUAUCUGCUCAGAAUUCUUUAGCUUCUUUCUUCUGAUCUCUUAGCUUCUACUGCAACUGUCGGUCCUCAGCUCCUGGUCUUCACUGUUGACGAACCACACUUCUUCUAGUCGUAGCAACUAAGAAACACAAACAAACAAUCACGACUAAGAACAAAAUCAAAAGAAAAGCUUAGAAAGAGCGCACUAAACGACACGACUUAUUGCUACGAUCGCGACAACGCAAGAACGAUUAAGAACGGAGCUAUCGUUAAAUGGACACGACUUUCGAGGCUCGAAGUGAAACGGAGAAGACGACUAUACGUUGGUCGCAUUUUAAGAAAACAGGUGAUAGAUUAUUCAAAGAAAUAUCUGAAAGUUGAGUUGACUAAAUUAUAAAUAAUUAUAAAAGCUGGAGUUAAACUUUAGUCAUAAUCUAAUUACAAACCAUUCUAGAACACUUAAGUCCCUUUACUAUUUAUAGUUAGAAAACAAGGAAUUUGUGACAUAAGUUAUACAAAACAUUUAUGAAAUAAGAUUAGAUUAAGUACAUCACAACUAAAAAGGUAUUUAUGUUGGUAUUAACAACAUUAAUAUUUGCUUAUGUAAAACCAAAGUUAUAAACAUAAAUUAUUUUUUUAUAGAUUAAGAGGCAUUUAGGUAAACAUCAAUCAUCAUAUAUUUAUGGUGAAAACCUAAAUGGUCAAACAAGAUAACUAUAACUGCUAAAGCGUAGUUUACGUCGAUACAAACCUAACACGACAAGAACGGGCUCAAUCGGAGUUAAAACGCGGAUUCUAUGGCCAAAACUAAGUUAGUGGCAAAACUGUGAAUAAACCAAACUAUUUUUCGUAUUUUAAAUAAAUAAAACUGAAUUUAAAAAGCAUUUGGACUGUGGGCACUAUUUCCCUAAAAUGCAGGGGCUAAAACAGAAAAGAAAAGGGCGUAAAUCUAAUUACUUUUGAACUGGCCGGAGUGCGGGUUGAUUUCACAAAACCUGAGGGACCUUUUUGCAAAAGGGCAGGGAGCGGCGUGGGCGGCCGGGCGGGCUGGCCACGUGGCGUCUCGCGAGUGGCGGGUCCACGGCGGGGGCUGUGGACCGGGGCUGCGGGCGCUGGUCCACCGGUCCACCGUGGACCGGGGGGGUCGGGUGGCCGGAGCGGCGGCGGCGCCAUGGCCGCGCCGACGAGCUCGCCGUGGAGGCGCUACCGGGCACGGGAAGCCGUGCCGAUGGCACGGGUGUAGUCGGCGCGUCGAGGCGAACGUGAUGCGCGUGCUUGCCGCGCGAGGGAGAGGCCGGGGAGGACGGGCCGUGCGGAUGGUGGCUCGGCGGCGACGGCGCUCCUACGGUGAGCUCGUGCGAGUGCGCGAGUGCGAGAGAGGGGAUGGGGAAGGGCCUGGCGAGUUCCUCACCUUGUCGCGAACAUCACGGUGGUGUUCUUGCCGGCCGGGGCGCAGCAGGCGAGAAGACAGACGGCGGCGCGGAGCUUCUCGGUGCGGCAAUGGCGGCGACGCUUCGAUCUAGUGUCCUAGGCGGCUCGGGAAACGCGGCUAGGGUUUCAAGAGGGCCGCGGGUGCAGCCGAGGAUCUUUAAAUAGGCUACGUCGGGGCCGGUUGUUGUGGCCGACUCCGAAACGGCCGGAGGUCAGGGAUGACAGGUGGGUCCCACUCGCGGGGCCCACCCGUCAGCGGGAGCAGGUGGGAGAGGGCAGCGCGCGGGGAAAGGCCGCUGCGGCUGACACGUGGGCCUGGCCAGUCAGCGGCUCAGGCGGCAGGGGGGAGAGGGGGCGCGGCGCUGCUGGGCUGGGCUAGCGCGGCCCACGCGGGAGAGAGAGGAGGGAGAAGGUGGGCCGAGAGAGAGGGGAGCCGGCCCAGAAAGGAGAAAAACCUUUUUCUUUUUAUUAAAAAUGGCUUUGAACCAAAAUCUUCACCACAUUUAUAAACCAAAAUUUGAUUUAUUAACUUGAGGUUAUUUUAAGAAUUAUUUUCUUUACUACUUUUAGAAACAAAGCAUAUUUUCUUAAUAACAUAUUUUAAAAUUAUUUUUCCAAUCAAAUAUAAAUUAAUUUUCAAAUAUGACUUUUGGAGUUUUAUUUUUCUGAAAACCGAAAGGACCUAAACGUGGUCGCUAGAAAUUUUGAAAUUCAUUUUUCUUACACCAGCUAAAUAAAGCUAGGGCACAAAGCACACAACAAAACAAACACUCUUCACUUAAUUUUUCAAGAAUUUUAGAAUUUCACAUUUUUCUCAUUUUUAGAGUAACAUAAUUAACAAAAAUCUCGUAAUAUUUUAGAAAAUUUUAAAUCCUUCAUUUAUUUUAGUAUUUUCUAAUAACAAUUCAAAAUUAAAAAUUUGGGAGUGUUAUACCUCGUCCUCAUCCUCUCCUCGUCCUCGUCGUACUCCUCGGCCUCUCGUCGUCCUCUCCUCGUCCUCGGCCUCGUCCUCGUCCUCGGCCCCGUCCUCGUUCACGUCCUCAUCCUGCUCCCCGUCCUCUCCUCGGCCUCUCCUCGCGAAGCUCCUCCAUCCUCCUCAUCCUCCUCGUUAUCCUCUCCUCCUCGUGCUCCUCGUCGUUGGGCCUCAUGAAGGCCAAGGUGACCCCCAUCCUUUGUGGCCGCCUACUUCCACCUAGCAUACUGUCCUGUGCCUGCAAUAACAAAGAUUACAAAAAUUAGUAAUAAUCAGAAAAAUAUAGUAUUACAUGAACGAAAUAAAAUUACAAAGAAAUAAUAAGAAAAAUAUAGUAUUACAUGAGGUUUAGAAAUUAUCUCCACCAACGGUAAAGGUUGACAGCUCAUCAUCAGUAUCACUAUUGUCAUCAUCAGUAUCAAUAUUGUCGAGAUCUCUUAAGUCCUCCUCAUAGUUUGUGUCACUGUCAGUAUUGUCAUCAUCACUAACAAGCCUAUCGCGCUUAGCCCGUCGUCGUUCAAGCAUCAUUAAGUCCUUAGCAUCUUGCACCACUUCACCCUCAUCCUCAUCGAUGUCAUUGUCUACUUCCAUGCCCAUCGUCGAAUCAAGGUCUAUCUCCAAACACCCUUGUAGCCCCUCAGGUAGAUAGAACUCUCCAGUAUCUACCAUCGGGUCAAAGUUGUAAUCAUACUCAUUUGGGACAGGCGCUUUGCCGCGUGGCGAUAACAAGUGCACAAGGUACCAACUCUUAAGCUCCUCGUCUUUUUGGCAUGCCCAUGGGAGAUAAUAAACUUGCGUGGCCUGUUGAGCCACAAUGUAGACAUCUUCUCCUUUAUAGACAGAAUCUAUUCGAAUUUCAAGUUGCCCAAUGUCAUCGGCUCUUCUCAUGAUGUUAGGAUCGAACCAAUGGCAUUUGAAUAUCACUGGGUUAAGAGGUUUGGAGCCCUCAAAGUGGAGCUCGUAUAUUUCUUCGACUAUGCCGUAAUAGUCGCGAUCAUCGGUGCCGGGCGUACGAACUCCUGUGCACGUGGUCUUCCGGUUGGGCCGAAACUUUUCGUACCUUCUUGUGCGAAAGCGAUAGCCAUUCACAUCAUAAAUGUUGAAGGACUUGACUUUACUAAAGGAGCCCCUUGCAACCUAUUUAAGUUCACCACUCAUUUCACUAUCCGUGCGGGCCUUUGUACGGAACCAGGAAAUAAAAUCAGCAUUUUUGAUAAGAUCGUCUUCUUCUUGGAUGGUAGGAGCCCUUCUAUGACUCCAAUGUUGUUUUAUAAACUCCCCGUAAAAAUAAGAUCGUGAUGGGGUUGGAUCUAUAAGUGGAGGAUUUUGACGAUGUAUGUAAAAAGCUCAUUGAGAACUUACUCUCGAUAAGGAGUCACUUCUUCAAGGUUCAACAAGAUGCAUAGUAUGAUAGUGCGCCACUCAUGAUCUUGUAAGAUCUUGGGUGUACCUGUGCUUCCUCUUCUGAACUGCCCUUUGAAAAGGCUCAGUGUCGAUGAGCUCUCAUCAUCGUUGUAACGAGGGAGUGACUUGUGCAUGUUGGGGGGAAGGUUCUCACUAUAGUAUGUUGUUGUGAAGUUCGACACCUCCUCCACCCUAAAUGCCUCUGCCACUGAAGCCUCAAUUUUGGCUUUAUUUCCACACUUUUUUCGAAGAAUGUUUAGACUUAACUCAAUUGGAUAGCACAAACGAAACUGCACGGGACCCCCAGCCUUGCCUCACGCGGUAGGUGCAAAAUCAGAUGUUGCAUUGAUGGAAAGAAGCCAGGUGGAAAGAUCAUCUCCAACUUGCAGAGCAACAGAGGUGCAGCAUGCUCCAGGUCAACAAUCACUAGCAGGGAUAACUCCCUAGAACAAAGCUCGUGGAAGAAGCAGCUCAAUUCUGCUAAGACACGCCACACUGGAUCGGGGAGGAAUCCAUGGGUCAUCGCAGGAAGCAGCCGCUCAGUCCAUAUGUGGAAGUCAUGACUCUUCAUCCCUAGGACUCUCAAAGUCUUCAACUUCACUCCCCUACUCAGAUUCGCCGCGUACCCAUCAGGGGAUAUUAACAUCUUGAUCCACUCCAGUAUUUCCUUCAUAUCGUUCCUUUUCAGGAUGUAAUCGGCUGGGCCCUUUUUCCAAAUCUUGCCAGGAGCAGGGGUCUUAAUGGUCAGCUUUGGUCUAUCGCACAUCAUUUCGACGUCUAGUCUAGCCUUCACAUUGUCCUUUGACUUCUCCUUUAUGUCCAUGAGUGUUCCCCAGAGUGCCUUGGCGACGUUCUUUUCUGUAUGCAUUACAUCGAUGCAGUGUGGAAGCAGAAGGUCCUUGAAGUAAGGGAGCCUAGUCAAAACCCGAUAUAUGCAUCCACAUGUGUUCCUGGCCAUAUCCAAUAAAACCACCAGUGGCCUCAUCAAUUGUGAGAGCCUCUAACUCAGCAAGGACCUCGGCACCACUCAUAAUAUGAGGAAUACGAUCGGUGACUUGAAGACCUUUCGUGAAAUGCUUGAUCUCUCGUCUGAAUUCAUGAUUGUCAUCAAGGAAUUGGUGAUGUUUGUCGAACGAAGAAAACUUGCGCCCCUUGUUCAUAUAGGUGAUGUCACGGAACCGUCCAAAUUAUAAGAGCACAAGUACAAAAACAAUCACCGAAGUGAUCAAUUUAUCAUAUUUGAGCCCAUAUAACUCCGGUAGUCAAACAAAAUCAUGAGGGAUUUCAAUCCAACCAACAUACAAGCCAAGAUCGUAGUGAUUCAACAUAACAAGUCACACGUUACAUACAUUUCGCAAGUAGUUCAAAUACAUCAGAGUUCGAUAAGGUUAUUACAACUCAGGUUUACAAAUAGCGGAAGCAAAGUAAUUUGAAACCAAUAUCAGUUUUAUUUCAAAUACAUGCCAGUACCAUGGUCCAUUCCAACAAAAGCAUCAUAGAUGAGGUAAGUAGGAAGGAUCAUGCCCAUGAUCUUACUCCUUCCAUAUAGCAGGAGUCAUCCAAAUCUUGCAGUAGCUAUGAUACAUCACAACCUGCAACAAGUGGGAAUAAACCCUCAGUACGAGAAUGUACUCAGCUAGACUUACCCGUCAUAAACCAGAAAUAAAUGACACCAAGGAGUAUGCAAGGCUGAUAUAUAAGUGGAGCUUGUUGGACAACAUUUUGCAUAAAAAGCUUAAGUAUAAAUAGUUAAACCUUUUUUAUUUCGCAUCCAUUUAAUUCUCAUUAACCUAUCAACUAGAUUAGCACCUGUACUAUAGCAAUCACUUGAUUAAUAUCAAUCAAUAAUAACCAUAUCAGGUUUAUCAAGGCCGUGAUCUCAUCAUCAUCAUCAUAGAACCAUUAGGUUGUUUAGUGAAUGCUACGUUUGCCGCUGCUCUGUCAAGUUCUCACUAUCCGGGAGAGACGGCGAUUCGAAUCGAUUCCUAUCCAACUGGAGGGUUAUUCCUAACACUCACCCAUGCUUCCCCAGUCGGAGAGCAAGUGGGUCACCUUUGGUACGACUCAGGAAUCGCGGCUCCGAUUAGCGCCGCACUCCCAGGGCUGCCACUCUGCCAGGGAGGUCAGGACUUUUAACUCACCUGCCUUUGGUCUUACGCCAAUGGACCCCACACACCGCACUUCCUCUGGUAGUGCGCACUUGUUGAUGCAAAAGCUAGAUCUGCAAACACAAAGGGCUAAUACCUGAUUCAAACGUUAAGGCGUGCCAGCCGAUUUGACCUUACUAUCGCAAAUGUGAUAACCCGACAACAGCGAUACGGCCGGAUGCCACGGCCAAGAGGUAUUCACGCGGAACUUGAGAAUACGCCGAGCUUAAGUCGACGAACUCCUAAGAAAUCGUAAUGAAAAAAGAAAAUAUGACGAAGUCGUCGAAAAAAGUAGAUGCUAGAAUAUGAGUAAAAACUUGUGUUUGAUUGAUUCAUAGAUAGAUCUCUCGAUUACAAGGCCCUAGGGUCUACAUUUAUACCCUGCUCAAAGAGCUACAAUUAGACACGACUAGGACUCGAAUUCCAAAUUAAAUAGAAUCCAUACACAAAACGAUUUAAAUAACUAAGGAAAACACAAAACUAUCUCCCUGUGACAAACUAGGACACCACCAUGGACCAAUAGACAACCUUCAUGCCUUCCUUCUGUAUCAUCGGCAGACUCCUCAUCAUAGCCAUCGGCAGAAGCUAACGCUGACCAUCGGUAUGAACGCAUCACCAGUAUGGACAUAGUCACAUUCAGCCGUCACUUCAUCGGCAACCAUCCUCAUCGGCAAAUCUUUUGCAGUCUAGUUACUGCUACCCCAUCUUGCCGAUCCACACUCUACCGAUUCUGGAUACGUGUCCAAAAACGGUGUCAACACAUGCCCCCUAAUUUCGGAGUAUGAAAUUAUUAAUGCUCCAAAAUUCUCUGUAGUAAUGAUGCCUUUCCGCAAUUAAUUCUCCCAAUUUGGUAACCGACAGCCUAAAUCUGAACAACCUUGGCCCGAUUCUUCCGCAGAUUCCUCGAAUUCCUCAACCUCCCAAACGGACAUAUCCACUUUAAUCGCCCAUCGGCAAUAUUACCAUUACAAGGAACUACCGAUGGGCUGACCAGGAAAUCCCGCAUAGUGAAAUAUCUCAACUUCCCAAACGGACAUCUCCAUUUUAUUCGCCCAUCGGCAAUAUUACCGUUACAAGGUGCUGCCGAUGGACUGACCAGGAAAUCCCGCACAGUGAAAUAUCUCUGGAUUAUGACCGCUUUCUGUCACAUCAUUUGCACAAUCCCUUGAUUACCGUGUGAACAGUUACCAUAUCUACCUGAGUACCCUCAGAUUUCACAUAUACGGCGAAGAGAUAAGUCAAAUUUACCCUUGCCCGUUCUGUCCUAUAAAUAGUUCCUUCUCGGGUACUCCUUCUCCAUCACAUCAUUCCUCAGCCCCAACUCUGCUUUUCUGGCGGCGGCGCUGUUCGAGAGCCCCAAGAACUCCGACGAAGGCCUUUCUUCACCAACCUCAAAGUCUUCGAACAUCUUCAUCGCGAGGAGAUGGCCAUCAACUUUGUUGUUCCCGAGGUCAGUCAUCGCCCUACCUCUUGUACUUUUACCAUUUCCUUGUUCAUCCGCAAUUUACUUUACUGAACAUUCUUCUUCUCUCUUUUGUUUUCUUCUUUUUACCCCAAAAACUAUUAGGAUCUGUCCAAUAAAAUUGUUAUCCCUACCGAUCAGCCGUAUCUCCAAUGUCUUGGUCCGUUAGGGAACCCAGAUCCCACCGAUCUGAUCAAAGCAGAAACCAACAGAAUUUCCUUUAGGGCCGAAAAUUUUUCUGGUCCAGUCCUACCGUGGGAUGGAAGGAUUGGUUCUUGAGAGUCAGCCAUUCGAAUGAGGUUCAGUGGGGCGAACGAAAACUGGACCAAUGCAUUAGGUUGUCUCUUGCCGAUAUGCAUAGAAAUGAAUCACUGCUGAUUGCUGCAUCAUAUUUCUGGUCAGACACACUUAAUGCCUUCAUCUUCGGCCAUGGCCCUGCUUCCCCCACACUUGCCGAUGUGGUUAUGCUCACCGGCCUAGAUGUAUCUUAUGCCGAUAGCACCCACUUUUUCGAUACCAAACCCAGUGCUAAGGUAGAAACUCGUUCCAUCGGCGGUUGGUCAGGGUACAUCCAAAAAUACAAACGAAUAGGCCCUGUUAACAUAAAGGAACAUACCACCUUCCUGAACAUGUGGUUGGACAAAUUUGUAUUUUGUAGUCGAUCGGCAGGACCAACUUCCGUCUACCUAGCAGCAACAGAAAGAUUAGCCAAUGGUGGCCGAUUUCCCCUCGGCCGAUACCUGCUUGGUGCGGCUUACCACCUCCUCCAUCAAGUAACUAGGAAACUCCCGCUCGGCCAGUCCAUCGGCAACUUGGGGGGGUCCCUGGUGGUUUAUCAAUAUGUGGCUUAGCCUCCACAUGCAUAAGCGUCUUGAGUUUGACCUCUUCGCACAGCGCUUCCCUAGGGAUAUAGCCGAGGAUUAUGAAUUGGAUGAAGAAGAAUCGACAACUCGUCCUCCUCUAAACUUUGGCGAGGCUGUCAUAGUUCUGCCCGGUAUAGGGGGCAAUGCAGACCAGGUCAGCCGAUUCUUCCAGACCCUGUACGAAGGCCUGACCAGAGAAUAGCGAGCUUGGAUGCCUUAUGAAGAUCCAGAUACCAUGUUUCCUUUGGUCUUCCAUCCGUUCAACGAUGCUCUCAACAAGGAUCACUACCAGUAAACUUCUUUGGCAGUGAGAAAGCCUCCAACCAAACCUAUGAGUUUUACAACCCAUCGGCACUAGCCCGUCAACUAGCUUUCGGCGAGCUGCCGAUUGCACUCAGUUAUGCCGAUGUGAUAAAACCCAGCGAAGCCAUCACUAACCUUCUCGAGUGGAUCCGAGUAGCCCAGCUGUCACCAAAUGCCGAUACAGAUGCGGAUCUAUCAAAGUGGAUCCCGGCCCUCUUCAUUACUCAGGCGUACAAACAAUGGUGGGAAGAAUGGAAGGAUCAUCUGUUCUACAAAUCGGCUCUUACAUACCGCGGCAUGAUCGACCCUCAGUACAAAGUUCCCGAUAACACUGUAAGUAUUUCCAAACCGAUGUCUCAAUCUUUUCACUUUUAUUUCCAUCGGUAACUCACUUUUUGUGUUAUAUUACAGGUUGAUAACAUUCCCCCAUCGGUCAUCAGGAGUGGCAAGCCGAUCGAUAUUUUUCCAUCAGGCCCAAUCUCUUCGAUCGGCAACAAUGCUCCCACCUUGGCUGCCAUAAUGCACCGAGGUGUACGCCUCAAGAAAGUCACCACCAAGCGUACAAAGACAUCUCCAUCGGUAGCUGCCUCUGCUUUGGCGCAAGCCUUCAAGGUAAAUCUUCAAAUUUCUUCACCGAUUCCAUCCUUACAUCUAUUACACUUGUACUCACGAAUUUUCAUUCUUGGUACAGCACACCGGCGCAUCGGCAAGGACCAGAGGCACAGGUGCCGAUGCCCCCCAGUCCAGCCAGGCGAAGAGGAAAGGCUCCAAAAGCACCAGAUCACAAGCAAAGUGCUAGAGGACAGCAACACCUCCUCCUCCCCAGUGUCUCCGAUUCCAGUGGAAUCUUCUCCUUCCUCUCCAGAAGUCUAGAUGCAACAAGCACCAUCUCCUCAGCCACAGGAAGAAGCUCACACAGAAGAAUUCCAACUAGAGGGACCUCAGCCAGAAGAUACAUCGACAGAUAUACACGAGCAAACCGCCGAUCCAGCAAGUUCAAUCAUAGCAUCGGUAAUUUCUUCCAUCCAAACAAGUACCGCUCCCCCUCAAGGUAAUACAUCUUCCAUAAAAUUAUUGUCGAUGAACCCAUUUUUCCUGUCUUAUAAUUACUUUUGUUAAUUUUUCAGCUGACAUAGUCCCAUCAGCAACCCCAGCCGAUCAGCCCAUGGUCCCAUCGGCAUCUUCUAGUCAGAGGCGAUAGAUUGCCAUGAAACAAGUAAGUCACCCAAUCUCUAACUGUAUUACCUGUCAACACUUGUCCAUAGAAUAACUUACUUCAUUUACUUUUCAGGAACAGGACUCCCCUGACAGCUUGUUCUCCUUUGCCAUCGACUCCUCUGAAGAUGAAGGCGAGGAGACAAGUACUUCCCGAGCAGUUGGAAUUAUAUCGGCAGAGGUCAGGGCAAAGCUAGAAGAAUUGUCAACCCUCCUUCAUCAGGACACAGCUCAACUUGUUGAUGACUCCGACCCGGCCAAGGCUUUGUUCAAGACCCUCAGAGGCCAAAUUCCUACCGAUGCUGAAGAAAUCCUUUUCCAAGCUGCACACCUAGAGAGCCAUCAGCUGCAGUACCAGAGGGUUGCCCAACGUCUUGCCGAUAGAGCUGCUCAUGCUCAGCUCUCUGAGGAGAUGAUGAAGGUAAAACUCCUUGCCGACGAGAAACAUAAGAGCAUCGGCAUUCUGACAUCCUCAGGAGACGUAUUGAAGCAAAAGAUUUCUGACCUAUCGGCGAGAAGAGAAGUUCUGUUGGCAGAACUCAAGCAAGUAGAAGAAGCCUUGUCCCAAGCCCGACAAGAAGAAAGCCAACUGCAUGAGACAAUCAAGCUUCUUGAGCAAGAGCGAAAUAUCCAAGCCCGUACGGCACUGCAGAUGAAGAAGAAGUGAAGCCAGUGGAAGGCUCUGCCGAUGACGAUGUGAAAGUAAUAGAAGAAGCCAACAAGAUCCGUCUGCGUGCUAUAUCGGCGAUCCAGGCGCUGUUGAAUAUGUGAGCUCUUCAUCGGCAACAUACUUGCCCCUUUCUGCUUUCCAACCUUCCUGAUAUUUGGUCUAGCCGAUAGGACUGUUAUCGGUAUCUUUUAAAACAUUAAGUCUGUCCCCAGAUACAUUUUGAUCCAGCCGAUAGGAAUGUUAUUGGCAUCUAAACUUUUAUGCAUCGACCCAUAUGCUUGGGUAAUACUUUUUAAGAUAUUUGCCAUUCAAUGCUCUGGGAAAUUCAAGUCCUUCAAGAGUUUCUAGAAUAUAGGCGUUACCAGGAGCCGAUCGACUUAUCCGAUAGGGACCCUCCCAAUUGGGAGACCACUUCCCAAAUUUUGAAUUUUUAGUCCCGAUCGGUAAGAUUAGUUUCCAUACUAAGUCUCCAUCGGCAAACUCCUUAGCUUUUACCUUUUUAUCAUACCAUCUGACAACUCUUUUCUUAUUCUCUUCUAUACUCAUCAAAGCCCUUAGCCGAUGUCCUGCUAGAUCAUCCAGCUCGUCUGUCAUUAGAGUAGUAUAAUCAUCGGCAGUCAAUUGAUUUUGAAAAGAUAGUCACCUAGACCCAGUCUUAGUUUCCCAAGGUAACACUGCAUUAUGCCCAUACACCAACUGAUAAGGUGAAACCUUGGUUGAUCCAUGACAAGCCAUCCGAUACGACCACAAAGCUUCAUUUAACAACGUGUGCCACCUCCUAGGAUUUUCUUCAAUCUUCCGCUUAAUAAGCUUGAUAAUUCCUUUGUUAGACGCCUCGGCCUGCCCAUUAGCUUGAGCAUAGUAAGGAGAAGAGUUUAAUACUUUAAUUCCCAUACCGAUUGCAAAUUCGUCAAACUCCCCCGAUGUGAACAUAGUACACUGAUCGGUAGUAAUUGUUUGAGGAAUUCCAAAUCGGUAAAUAAUAUGUUCUUUCACAAAAUCAAUCAUAUUAGCCGAUGUAACUUUCUUUAAAGGAAUAGCUUCAACCCAUUUGGUGAAAUAAUCGGUGGCAACCAAGAUAAACUUAUGUCCUUUGCUGGACGGCGGAUAAAUCUGGCUGAUUAGAUCAACGGCCCAUCCUCAGAACGGCCAAGGCUUGAUGAUAGGAUUCAUAGCUGAUGCGGGUGCUCUUUGAACAUUGCCAAAUUUCUGACAUCCUUUGAAAUAUCUAAAGCAAUCUUCAAGUAUGGUCGGCCAAUAAUACCCAUUCCGCCUGAUCAUCCACUUCAUCUUGAUGGCCGACUGAUGCGCUCCACAUACUCCUUCAUGGAUUUCUCCCAUCAAAUUCUUAGCCUCAUCACCACUUAAACAUCUGAGAAGAAUCCCAUCAAUAGUUCGGUAAUAUAACACAUCUCCAAGGAGCACAUACUUGGUGGCGUGAAACCGAACACGUUUCUCAACUUUCUUGGAUGGAUCUUUUAAAUAAUCAAUGAUUUCCUUUCCCAGUCAUCGGCACCGAUCGCCGAUAUUGCAUUAAUCAAGGGCUGAUAUCCCGAGGCAUGUUGAGCCAACCGAUUAGCCUCUUCAUUAUGCAAUCGAGGAAUAUGCUCUAAUCGGAAGUCCUUGAAUUCCUUUAACAGUUGCGUACUCCUUUCAUGAUAAGUUAUCAGGACCUCGCUUCAGCAUUAAUAGCUUCCAGCCAACUAAUUUAUAACUAGCAUAGAAUCUCCGAAGACUUCAACAGCAUCAACAUGAACUUCCCUUAGUAAUUCUAACCCCUUUAUCAAAGCUUGAUACUCAGCUUGAUUAUUUGUUGACGUGGCAACAAUUGGCAAGGAGAAUUCAUACUUCCUUCCCCGAGGGGAAAUUAGCACUAUGUCGAUCAAUGCCCCCCGGUCACACGUGGAUCCAUCAAAGAUGAGUGUCCAAGGUACAAUUUCCAAUGUCUCCCUGUACCGCAAUGCUGAGUUACAAAAUCGGCCAUAAUUUGUCCCUUAACCACCUUAGCCAAUUCGUAACGCAAAUCGAAUUCCGACAGUGCCAAAAUCCAUUUUCCGAUCCUGUCACUCAUGAUCGGCAUAGAUAGCAUGUAUCGGACCACAUCAUCUUUCCAAAUAACAGUGCAUUCGGCCGAUAGCAAAUAAUGCCUUAACUUAAUACAGCAGAAGUACAAGAAUAAACACAAUUUCUCAAUAGCCGAAUACCUGGUCUCAGCAUCAAUCAACCUUCUGCUUAAAUAGUAAAUCACACGUUCCUUCCCUUCAAAUUCUUGAAUUAACGCCGAACCGAUGACCAUCCCAUCGUUAGACAAAUACAAUCUGAAGGGCUUCCCUUGUUGAGGUGGAAUCAGAACUGGAGGAUUUACCAAAUAAUUCUAGAUUUCAUCCAAGGCCAAUUGUUGUUCUUUCCCCCAAACAAACUCUUGAUCGGCCUUCAACUUAAGUAAGGGACUGAAAGCACGAAUUUUACCAGAUAAAUUAGAUAUAAACCUCCUGAUAAAAUUUACCUUGCCGAUCAAGGAUUGGAGCUCAGUCUUGUUGGUAGGGGCAACUAUUUUGUUGAUAGCAUCAAUGGAUCUCCGACUAAUUUCAAUCCCCCUUUGAUGCACCAUGAAGCCAAGGAAUUGUCCUGUCGAUACACAAAAUGCACACUUAUUGGGGUUCAUCUUUAAACCAUGCUUCCUUGUGCAUUCCAACACCUUUCGCAGAUUGGCAAGAUGCUUCGUGAAAUCUCCAGAUUUAACCACCACAUCAUCAAUAUAAAUUUCCACCAGCUUGCCGAUGAACUCAUGAAAUAUAAAAUUCAUAGCCCUUUGAUAAGUAGCACCAGCAUUCUUCAAGCCAAAGGUCAUAACUAUCCAUUCCAACAACCCAACAUGACCAGGACAUCUAAAUGCAGUCUUUGGAAUAUCCUCUUCAGCCAUGAAUAUUUGAUUGUACCCUGCAUUGCCAUCCAUAAAGCUGAUAAUCCGAUGCCCAGGCGCAGCGUCAACCAGCAGAUCGGCAACUGGCAUUGGGUAGCCAUCCAUCGGUGUAGCUUUAUUAAGAUUUCUGAAAUCAAUGCAGACUCGAAGCUUCCCGUUUUUCUUGUAAACCGGAACAACAUUGGAAAUCCAUUCGGCAUACCGACACUGCCGAAUAAAUUUAGCUUCAAUAAGUUUGGUUAUUUCGGCCUUAAUAUCUGGAAGAAUAUAAGGAUUACAUCGGCGAGCUGGCUGUUGAUGUGGCCGAAAUCCAGACUUGAUGGGUAACCGUUGUUCAACAAUCGAUCGGUCUAAACCAGGCAUCUCAGUGUAAUCCCAAGCAAAGCAAUCUUUAUAUUCCUUUAACAAAUCAGUCAACUGCUGUUUACACUCAGAAUUUAACUUAGCACUAAUAAAAGUAGGUCUAGGCUUAUCACCACUACCUAUAUCUACUUCUACUAAAUCAUCAGCCGAUGUGAAUCCCUGGCCUAAUUUUCCAUCAUCGGCGAACCUAUCCAUUAAAAACCUUCAUCAGAACCGACUGCUUGGAUCGGUGGAAUUUCAUAAUCGGCAACUUUGAGAAAAUCUUUUUCCCAAACUUCUCCUGAAAUACAACUAGUCUUUUCAUAGGUAUCUGCCUCUGCCGAUGCAAUGACAUAUGAAGAGUCUCCCAGGACAAUCUCAAUCUUGUCACCUACCCACUGAACUAAGCAUUGGUGCAUUGUAGACGGAAUGCAACAAUUAGCAUGAAUCCAAUCUCUUCCCAGCAACAGAUUGUAAGCACCUUUUCCACAGAUCACGAAGAAAGUUGUCGGCAAGGUUUUGCUGCCGAUGGUCAACUCAACGCAUAACGCAUAUCACGAAGAAAGUUGUCGGCAAUGUUGCCCGCAAAAUCCUUGAGCAUCAUAUCGGUCUUGGUCAAAUCUUGAUCUCCAUAUCCAAGCUUGUGAUACACUGCGUAUGGCAUGAUAUUGAUAGCAGCUCCACCAUCAAUUAGAAUAUUGGUCAUCGGCUGACCAUCCACUCUUCCUUUGACAAACAGAGCCUUAAGUUGUUGCCUUUCAUCAUCGGCAGGCUUUUCGAAGAUGGCUGUCAUCGGAUCCAGAGUCAACUGAGCUAUUUGGUCGGAAAAUUCCAACUCAUCAUCACUAGACGACGCAAGGAAUUCCAUCGGCAACAUCAAUACCAUGUUGACAUCUGCCGACAGACCUUUUCCCUUAGGAUCUGAUCUGGCCAGAGUCUUCACCUUUACUCAACUCUUCCCGUCUUUCACGCUAUAGUCUCCUUUUCUGUGUCCUGGUCAACCCCUCUGGACACCAUGGAGGAAGUUGUUGCCGCCUUACCGAUGGGCGACGAUUUUCCCUUGACUCCAUCCGAUAAGUAUUGGCAUCCCUGCAAAAUAUGAAUUCAUCGGGAACUCGUGCACUAGCCAUCUCUUUAAGUUCUUCCUGGUUCCUUGGAAAAUAUUCAACACGAUCACCAAGCCUGUCGUGCACACUGAGCCUGCCCCCAGUCGAUCAUGAACAGACGCUCUCCCCAUGAUCGGCCCAUCAAACCGGCGGUUAUUGUUCUGAUACUGUCGAUUUGAUCUGUCAUACUGAUCAUAACCAUUACAUUCUGGGCAGUCUCUAACAGUAGGAAGCUUGAUAUUUUCCUCCCAACAAUGGAUAAAGAACGGACAAUUCCAGUGAUCCCUAUGCCGACUCCACUCUUGUCGGCGUCUUUCUUCUUCCCGAUGAUAGCCUUCUUGAUGAUGAUCCUCACGUUGCUGCCAAGUUUCCCGAUGCCUUCUGUGAGUUAUUACAAUACCAGAAUGGGGAGGCCUUCCUCAGUUAGUUCCCUCCUGGAUCAAGCCUUUUCCUUUUGCAUCGGCAGUAGUGAUCUGAUGCUGAGGAUCCACCCAUGCACUUCUUUCAGCUGCUUCUGACGUUAAGACCUUGGCUUUUCCCUUAGCAUCCAGCAUAUUUGUUGGGAAAGGAUGUUGAUCAAUCUCCAUCGGCUUCUGAGCUUUGGAGCUAUCGAAUUUGAUCCUUCUGGAUUCUAUAGCCGAUUGCAGCUGUUGUCUAAAAACUUUGCACUCAUUGGUGCUGUGAGAAGUUGCAUUGUGCCAUUUGCAGUACUUCAUCUUCUUUAAUCCUUCAGCCGAUGGAAUUACAUGGUUGGGUGACAAUUUGAUCUGACCUUCCUGAAGUAGAAAGUCAAAUAUCCUAUCGGCUUUGGUGAUGUCAAAUGCGAACUUCUUCGGCUCUUCAUGCCCAAAAAGACAAGACAUCGGCUUCUUAGUCUUUACCCACUCUGCUAUGCCGAUGACUGGUUCCUCAUCAGAGUCCGAGCUCGCUGCCUCAUCCACAAAUGAUACCUUUUUGUUCCAUGCUCUCUUGGGCUCAAAAGGCUUGAUAUCUUGAUCAAGAAAUUCUCUGCACCAAAUCACUUAAGCUUUCGAACUCUUGAGAUGCAUACUUGUCCCUGAUGAGUGGCAGCAAACCUUGGAAAGCCAAAUCGGCUAGCUACCGAUCAUCCAAAACCAAACUAUAGCAUUUGUUCUUGACAUCCCGUAUCCUCUACACAAAACUUUCAACCGAUUCAUCACUGUGUUGCUUCAAUUUGACCAAAUCAGUGAUCUUCUUCUCAUGGACUAUAGAAAAGAAGUAUUUGUGGAAUUGCUUCUCUAGAUCGGCCCAAGUAAUUACUGAGUUAGGAGGUAAUGAUAUAAACCAAGUGAAAGCCGAUCCUGAUAAUGAUGACGAGAACAAGCGAACCCUUAACUCGUCCCUGUUAGCAGCUUCUCCACAUUGAAUGAUGAACCUGUUGACGUGUUCCAUGGUCGAUGUAUCAUCCUGUUUAGAAAACUUAGUGAAAUCUGGUACCUUGUACCGAUUUGGAAGUGGGAUUAAAUCGUAUGCAGGAGGAUACGGUGUCCGAUAAGAGUAAGUAUUGACUUUGGGUUUAUUCUAAAUUGAUCUCUCAUUACUUCAGCAAUCUUAUCAGCCCAAUAAGCAUCGGAAUCUUGCCGAUGAGGCGGUUGCGGCUCUAGGAUUUGCUGAUAUGCCUCCACGUGUCUAUGUGGCGCGCGAUCUGCAUGGAACAUUGGGUUAAUCAUUUGGCCGCCAACCUGCUGACCACCAAGAUGUUGACCACCAAAUUGCUGACCACCGAUCUGCUGACCACCAACCUGCUGGCCGAGAUUCAUCGGCUGAUUGACCACCCCUUGGUUCUGGAAUCCAGGGUAGAUCUGGCCUUGUUGAAACCCUGAAACCUGAUGAUUCGGCUGGGGCAUUUGUGGAAAGACUUGCUGCCCAAGCCAUCCACUAUUAGGAUUCAUCGGCAUAGGUCCUGCCGAUGACUGGUAAUUGGGCAUCAUCAUUGAACUGACAUACCCUGGCUGAGUCAUAAAUCUCUGUUGCGUCGGCAUUGAAUCUGCCGAUGCAUUAGGCAUCUGGAAUGUUGGAGCUUGAGAAUUCCCAGUGUAAGGCCUGGCAGUAGUAGUUGUAGUAUACUAGGGACUCUGAUUCAUCGGCAUAUUUGGAGGUGCCGAUGCCAUAGGAGCCUUGCCUCUCAUAUCAGCCGCCUGAGAUGUGCUAGGUGUCUUCAACAAGUAUUCCGGGGGCAUACCAAAACCCCACCAAUUAGGAGGAGUGGAUCCCGACAUUGCCGAUGCCAAUAGAUCUGUAGUAAGCUUGAUCGACUCAUCUGAGGUUGAUGGAUUGGACGGCAUCGGCGUGGAUUGUGCAUUAGAGACUCCUAGCGUGCUUGGAGGAGCAGUGGUUUCUGUGCCUGCAGCGGCUGUAGCAGCCGAUGGAGCCGUAACCACUGGCGAUCCUGGCUAGUGAUAGGUAGGUCCCGCAUAAUUUGGUGGCAAUUGUCCUUCUUUGAAAGUUCUAGCCACGACAUUGAAAACCGUAUUGGACAGCACACCAGCUUGGUUGAUCAAGGCACGGUUGAUAGCACUAUCGACCAUGUCUUGGAGUUUACCAGGAUUGGCGUCAAAGGUAACCUGCCGAGGUGCCGGCAAUGCUUCUUUCUGGAUCACUUCGCCACUCCUGUUUAUGCUGAAGGCCUUAAGACAUUGUUGCUUGUAAUCCUCCAUAGCCUUCGCAAUAGCUUGCUUCUGCUCAUCUUUGAGGCUAGCUUCUGUCACGGGGAUGACGUUCUCCAAGUCAAACUCGGUAGUCGACAUGUUGAUCUUGAUCUUGAAUCGGUCCCACUGGGCGUGUCAAAAGAUGUGUUGAUGCAAAAGCUGGAUCUGCAAACACAAAGGGCUAAUACCCGAUUCAAACGUUAUGGCGUGCCAGCCGAUUUGAUCUUACUAUCGGCAAAGGUGAUAACUCGAAUACUUUGGUCCCGACAACAGUGAUACGCCUGGAUGCCACGGCCAAGAGGUAUUCACGCGGAACUUGAGAAUACGCCGAGCUUAAGUCGACGAACUCCUAAGAACUCAUAAUGAAAAGAAAAUAUGACGAAGUCGUCGAAAAAAGUAGAUGCUGGAAUAUGAGUAAAAACUUGUGUUUGAUUGAUUGAUAGAUAGAUCUCUCGAUGACAAGGCCCUAGGGUCUACAUUUAUACCCUGCUCAAAGAGCUACAAUCAGACACGACUAGGACUCGAAUUCCAAAUUAAACAGAAUCCGUACACAAAACGAUUUAAAUAACUAAGGAAAACACAAAACUAUCUCUCUGUGACAAACUGGGACACCACCAUGGACCAAUCGACAACCUUCAUGCCUUCCUUCUGUAUCAUCGGCAGACUCCUCAUCAUAGCCAUCGGUAGAAGCUAACGCUGACCAUCGGUAUGAACGCGUCACUAGUAUGAACUUAGUCACAAUCAGCCGUCCCUUCAUCGGCAACCAUCCUCAUCGGCAAAUCUUCUGCAGACCAGUUACUGCUGCCCCAUCUUGCCGAUCCACACUUUACCGAUUCUGGAUACGUGUCCAAUAACGGUGUCAACAGCACUUUAUACUUGUUGGUCUUCCGGCCUGAGUCAGACUACUAGGCUUCACGAUCGGAACGACUUAUCCGGCCAACUAAGUGUUAGGCAUGCGUUCAACAUGACAAGAGGACGUACAACGAUCAGUCCUUAAUCGACACAGACGGGGAUAGAUUCACACCCAAGACCUCCAUUCCUUGUUGCGUCACUAUCAUCAUCCCGCCCGGUCUCCUUUCAUAUUAUUAACACAUGGUUCUUUUCCAUGAUAGCAAAUAUAGCCAACCGUGAUCUGGAAUCCACCUAUAUCCUGUAGGUGACAGGAAAUCACCUGGCUUCUACCGAGCUAAGCAUGGCUAAGCAUAGACGUGAUCCCGACUAAUUAGGAUUCAGGUUAUAUAUAUGCUAGACAAGGAAGGGUAUAUAUGCAACAAUAGUUUCAUCCAACUCCUAUACUUAAUGCAACAAUACAUAUAUAACAUAUAUAUACUCAUUCAUUUUCAAAAGUAGGAGGCUUAUAAUGCUCCGGGGCUUGCCUGGAAUGUGACACCGAGUCAGAUUAGUUAGCUUGCUCCGUCUUGGUGACAUCUAAGAUCAUAACACUUGCUUAAUAAUUCCAUCUUCAGGAUGAUCCACCAUCACGUCCUUCACGUGGUUCAUCUAGCGUACCUAGAUGACAUGCAAGAUGCAAGUGCGUGAACACAUGGAAGUGCAAUAGAGAAAGCAUUACAUACAAGAAGCAUGGCAAGAGCAUGGUUACACUAAACACACUUAAGCACAUCUCAUUGCUCAACUUAAUGAUUACACAACCAACAUGCUAAGCCAACAAGGAAUGCAACAUUAAACAUAUUAGACAUAGCAUACAUGUUUCACUAGGUCUCAGGUAUAUUAACUUGGCCAUUACCAAAGACAUGAGUCAUACAUAGCAAUAUACCAAGCAACAGCAAUACAAGGAAUCUGCCAUUUUUAGGACUGUUAACUGCAGCUGAGAAAAUAAAUUAUAACUGGAGUUACACAACUUCAAAAUACAUGAAUUAAGACAUUCUGGAAAGUUUAAGAAAUUAUCCGCAUUUCAUAUUUAGACAUCAAAGCAUGAUUCUCAACUUAAACUGGUCGAAAUUAUAAAGUUUCAGAAUCUGUCCCUGACAAACAGAGAGCAGCUAUUUCUGGAAUCAAACUUUGAAUAGACAUAACUCACAAACCACAUAACCAAAUACUACCAAAUUUUAACAGCAUCUAGAUAAAUUAAUUAUCUACAACUUUGGUAUAAACAAGAUUCCCAGAAGACAUCAUUUACAUACUGUAAUCCAAACAGUCCCAGAAACUGUCCAGAGACAACAAUUGCAAACAAUUAAUUAUUAACUUAUGUUUUAAACAAGCAUUUGAGCAAAACCAUUAUUAACAACAGUUUUCACAUAUCUAAAGAACACCAGAAAACAUAGUGGUCAUUACCAAAUAAAUUUAUUUAAUGCAUUUCUUAAUUUAUUUGGAUUAUAAGGUGAAUUAAAGAACAUAUAACAAAAGUGCCUAGUAAAAUCCACCAAAAUUACAGUAGCUUCUACAUACUAUCCAUAGUCUAAUAUCCAAAUUUCAUUGCAUUUGAAUAAGCAUAGCAACAUCUAUGAAAAAGAUAAAUUGCUAUUGCAAUUAACCAUGUGAGAGCAAGAUAAAUGCAUAAAUCAUAUUUUCUUCAAACACAUGAUCAUAUUAUAUAUCAACAUGAUACAACAAUAUCACAGAAUGGUAGUGGAACAACAUUUUCUAUUUUUACAUUUUAAUUUAUAAUUAUAAACUAUUUAUCAAGCCCUAAGAAAUUUAAAUUAAUAACUCAUUUAUACUACACUCAAAAAUCAUAAAUCUUUUACCAGACAACAAUCAUCACAUGAAUACAAAGCCACAAAAGUUUCACUUCAAUUGGAUCUACACAGCAACAGUUAUAAAAAGGACAAACUCAACUAGCAUUAAAAACCUAGCUGCACAAAUCUAUUUCUACAGCUAAAAUUUAAACUAAAACAUGGCAUAUUAUAGAUCUACUGCAUAGAUAAUUUCAUAAGGAUUCCAAAAAGUCUACAUUUACUAUUUUACGAUUUUUCUAUGAAUUACUAUGCAUUUUUAAAGUUUCUGCAAAAACAAAUACAAACAGAUCCAACCGAUACUAUUCAUAUGAGUCUAUGACAGUGCAGAAAACCCCUCAGGUUAAGUCGAAUUCGACCCAAGGUCCCUGGUCGCGAAUCAGAAACAGAGGAAUCGCCGGAGCGCUUCCUGUUUCCGGCGAAGGGAGGCCACGUCGGCGGCGAUGGAGGGGUGGGGAAGCACCAGGAGGUCAACGCGCAUCUGCUGGUCGUCUUGGAUGGCCGGGAGAGAGCCUGUGGCGGCCUAGCCACGGCAGCAGGCGGCGGCGGUGGACUGCUCCCGGCGGUGGCGGUGCUCCGGCGAUGGUUGGGGCCAGAAAUGGAGCCCAGUGCGGUCAAAAGGAUACGGCGGUGGCGCUGAGGCACUUAGCUUGGGCUAAGAAGGCGCGAAGUAGCGAGUAACGCAGCGGGUGCGAGCUCAAACAGUCGGCCAUGGUGGACACGGCGGCGUUCCCGCGGUAGAGCGCGAGGAGAAGUGCGCGAGGGCGAGAGAGGACGCCGGGGAGGAGUGGGGAGCUCGCCAUCCACUCUAGAGGAGGUAGGGGCGCCUGGACGAGCAGCACAGGAGGUGGGGGCUUCAACUCGCGCAUGGAUGCCAUUCACCCGUGACGUGUCCACCAUUGUGGCAUUCCACCGAACACGUGUCGGGCAACGAUGUGGUCAGCGUGGGAAGCAAUUUGGGCUGGAUCUGGACCGAAUUUGGACAUGGACCAAAAAUGAAGUUUGCUCUACUCUUGACAUUCUCCAACUUUUAUUAAGGUGCCAUGGUCAUUAGAGUUGUGGAUUAGCAGAUAAUUAGAUGCCAACCUUUGAGUGUCAAUGAAUUGAUAAAGAUGACCAAAACGAAGUCCACUGGUGUCAUCUUUUGGUAUGCUCUUGGCCACAAUAUAUACUCCAACUUUUAUUUUAGGACCCAAGCAAGUUGUUUAUAAGAAUUAGGAGAACGCGGAAUGCCAACGUGAUGAACUACAAAUCCCAGACUUAAAAUUCGAAGUGCUGGAAAUUAUAGCAGAUUCAAUCUUGUGACCAUUAUUUGACAUGCUUAGAUGAUGAUUCAGAUAUAAGGCCUUAAACAAAGUUUGUAGAAUAUGAACUGAGCUACAACUUUUGUUAAAGGCUCAAAGACUGUUUCAGCUUGGUUAGGAACCUACAAAGCUCCCAAUUAGGAUACCCGAAACUGAAACACAGAUGACUUAGGCAAAUUUCUGAGAUCCAAAACAGCACUGCAUUGAAUCUUGUGAGCUUAAUUUGACUCAGAUAUGUACCAAACUAGCUCUUGAUCUUUAAAUAAUGUUUGUUCUACAGAAGCAAAACUACAACUUUUAUUUAAGGUCAAUCCUCAUAACUAGUACCAAAGUCAAACUUUCACUUUGGUCAAAGUAGCAACUUGAUAAAGCUGAAACUAGGGUUUUAGAGCAAAUAAAGCAUUUUCUUGGCACAAGCUCAACAUGAACCCUUCAUGACUUUUGUUGUAGAGUUCAUCUAGAGUCAUUUGGUCAAGAUUGCAAGAUUAGGUUAGUAACCCAAGGUUCCAUUCACUUAAUAAGGUCAUUCCAACAAGCAUGUAACUUAUUAUUUCAUUUGACCUUUUGAAACCAAACUUCAUGAAACCUUUUGAGUGAUCACCUAGGUAGAGAUGGAGAUGAUACACAUGAAAGAAGCACCAUCAAAAACCACAAGCUUUAUUAUGCAGGAUCAUCAAGCAUUCACUUGUCACAGCAUUAAAGUAUGUUUCAUACUAUCAUAUAUGAACAAAUGAUGCUUAUGCUCAUGAAAUGUAAAUGCCAAAAUGCAAGACAAACACCUGGGGUGUUACAGGUGAACCUCAGAGAUGCCUUGCAUACUGGGCAAGGCAUCUUCCCAUGAACACACCAACCACUGAAUAUGCCAUAUGCCAGAAAGUCAUGCAUUGAAUACUGGUACCACACAUGCAUUGUGAAGUUCCUCUUUGUAGCUCGGUCGUAGGUCAGCACCCCCUUUUCCCAAGCAUAUUGCAAUUCAUCCCUUACCGGCUGCAUGAACACAACCAUAUUAUUGCCUGGGUGUCCUGGUAUUAUCAGUGACAACAACAUAUACUUGGGUUCAAACAUGAUGCCGGGGGGUAGAUUCAGGGGGAUCACGAACACGGGCCAACAAGUGUAGGAGGCCGCCAACAAUCCAUACGCGUUGAACCCAUCUGUUGCAAUCGGUACACGUACAUUCCGAGCAUCCAUAGCUUUGCCAGGAUGCUGCUCAUCGAAGUACUUCCAUGCUUCACCAUCCGAUGGGUGUCCAUCUUGUCAAUGUAUCUUUUGCCAUUCUUGUGCCAAGUCAUCAGUUUCGUGGACUCUUCUGUUAUGUACAACCGUUGGAUCCUCGGUAGGAAUGGAAGGUACCGUAGGACCAUCUCGGGGAUUUUAGACUAUUUCUUCUGGCCAGGACUGCUCUCUACCUCCACAAACCUAGAGGCUUUGUGUAAGGACCUUGAUGUUGCCUAGAGGGGGGUGAAUAGGCGUAUCUAAAAAAACCUGAAACUCAAAACUCAAGUUGCGGAAGUUAAAUGCCUAUCGGUACCACCGACAGUUUGGGCCGGUACUACUGGUGUAAGACAGCCAGUACUACUGACGCAACUGUUGGUACUACUGACGCCCUAAGAGAUCUACAAAAUCAAAGUAUUUUGAGUUUUGAUUCCACAUCUCAGAGUUACCCCACUCUCCUAGAUGUAGUAGAGGGUGAUGUUGAAGUUCCCUUGGCUUGGUUCUUCUCCAAAACGUAGAUCGACCCUUGUUCACCUAUGAACGGGGGUAGAUAGGAAGAACACAAAGAACACAAGAACAAGGGUAGUCGAUGCUACCUCCAGAGCAAGACAAGAUAUUUAUCCCGUGGUUCAGCUCGGCACCAAGGCUUGCCUAUGUCCACGUUGUUGAGGAAACCACACAGGCUUUUCAGGUCUCUUUCAACCCUAUCCUCGUUCUCAAGUCAAGAGAGCAAUCCCUUGAGAUGAGGGGAGAUUUCACUAGAUGACUUGAGUGAUUACAAACCUCCCGAGGCUACCACAUGAGUAGGAAGCUCCACGGGCAACGCCUAGCCGGCUAGGAGCCUUGCUCCAAGAGUAACAAACACAAAUCCAACCGGCUUGACAAAGAAAUCAAGUGCUCAAGCUUUGCUUUGAUAUUUCUCUCACCAAGAAUCCUUCUCUCACUCAAUCCCUUGCAAGAUUUGAAGUGAGGAGCAAAGGGGAUAGAAGAGAGGAGCUUUUCAGAGCUAGAGAGGUGCCUUGCUGAAGGUUUGGCCGAGUGGAAGAGUCAGCCAACGGUUAGAAUGAGGGGAAAGCUAUUUAUACAUGUGUUCAGAACAACUGUCGGUACUACCGGGGCAACCACCGGUACCACCGGCUACCUCAGAUCUAACGGUAAGAAGUCUCUAUGAUUUGCGAGAAAUAAGCCUACCGGUACCACCGGGCUUUUGUCGGUACUACCGACCAUUUGCCGGUACCACCGGUGGAAGGCCGGUACCACCAGCAGUUCAAAUCUCCGCAACCAAAGUCAGCACAGAUUUGGCCUGCCGGUACUACCGGCGUUUCACACCGGUACUACUGGUGCUGGCCGGUACCACCGGCCCGAGCCCGGUACUACCGGUAGUUCAUUUUCUCGCAAAACUCAGGAGAAGGGCUGGCACUGCCGGUACCACCGGCCCUAAGGGUUGGUACUACCGGGUCACCCUGGUAGAGAAGAAAUUUCCUAGAUGUUCGUGCAUGCAAGUGUUAGUGUCUCUCUUUUGAUUUAGUUUUAAUACUUGAGCACUCUAUCUUCCUCAAACCAACUAAAUUUGCAUCCCUCUUUAUAGUGCGGCAAAUCCUAAACUCAAGGUCAAAAGUAUAUAACCAAUUUAACCACUUGAGUCUUCAAUGUCUUCAUAUGCCACUUCUCAAUAUCACUUCAUCAAGGAUGCAAUUAACUUUGUCUCCUCUCUUUGAGUAAAUAUAGCUUGAGCAUGUGACUUGAAUCAUUUCAACAAAUGUGAGUUCAAUCCAUGACUUCAAGUCACUUCCAUUAAAGAUUUUGAUCCUCAACACAAUAUGACUCCUCAUAGCUUAAUUAGUACCUCGACUCAAUGCAAGUACUCUCUUCUUCACCUUAGCCAUGGUACCUCGGUCUACAAGCCAUUGCUUCACCUUCACCUUCGCUUAGUCCCUUGAAGCCUUUUCCUUGCUAUCUUCACUCUAUCAAGCCAUACUCAAGUCACAUCAUGUUAAGCAUCCAUUGAAAAACUGUUUCUUCAAUAUUGUGAUUCUUGCUUGAAUAUCUUCUUGAUAUGAGUGUUGACAUUAGUCAAGCUUUAGUUUACACCAACACACAAAUUUGGUCUUCUUGUUGAACCUUUGAUACACUUAGCAAACUUUUUAGACCUUUAAUUCUGUUGUCAUUCAAUUCACCAAAACCCACUAAAGGGCUAGAUGCACUUACAAUCUCCCCCUUUUUGGUGAUUGAUGACAACACAAUUAAAGCUUACAAGAGAUUGAUAAAUAAUAAGAUUUUGAAUCCUCUAACAUAGUGAGCUCCCCCUAAAUGCGUGCGUUGAAUUGAAUUCAAAUUUUGGCCUCAUAUGCCAAAUGCACAUAUUUAAGAAAAGGUGUGGAAACUUUUCUAUAUCUUAGCAUCCGUGGGGUGCAAGGUGUCAUCAUGAUAAACGUGAUGCUCAUGACAGUUCAUGCACUUCAGAGAAAACAAAAACAAUACAUCAUUCAAGGCAUGAAUAUCACACACUAGCAUAAAAUUUUCCUUAUCAAGAGCAUCAAUUUAAACUAUCUUUGCACACUCCACACAAAAAUUGAAAAAACUUAUAUGCCUCUCUUUUACCCCUUUAAAUCUGCAUAUCAAUCUCUCCUCCCAUACACUCUCCCCCAAUAUUUCUCCCCCUUUGGCAUUAAUCUCCAAAAAGGAUCUAUCCACCAGAGGAAGAAAUAAUGGCAGACAAGUGAGGGCAAGAGGUAGGUAAAAAUUCAGCAUAUAGGAUUUCUCUCCUGAGUUUUCUACCGAACAAAGUAUGCAACACUUUAAGUCAAGAUUCUUGAGAAGUUAGUAUAUUUAGCUCAUACCUCACUUAGAUGAUAGUUCUAACAUGACACAAACUCACUUUAUCACCAUAGAGGUAUCAACCAAAUAUCUAAAUCAUUCUCUAAUCGUCACCAUAAGAACAAACUCAUGGUGUGGCCCAAAUAUUGCAUACACAUGCACACACUAGCAUGUAAGGGCCUAGAUACACAAAGGUAAUACAAGAGUUCAUGGAGUAAUAUACCUUUGUUCUAAACCUCAUAACCUCCACUGUGAUCAUGAUAUUAUGAAUUUAGUGCUUUGAUGGGCUUGGCAAAAUGCAAAAAGACUUCAUUUAUGCCCAUCUCUCUUGAUCAUAGGAGAUAUCAUAAACUUGUGCUUGAUUUGAGUUGACAGUCCAUUGCCAGCUCUUGUUGUUAUUUUGAGAUACCAAUUGAAGACAUAUUUCUUGAUACGCCAGAUCGAAAGAUUAUCCACCAAUACCAAUUGAAAUAUGAUCUUCACAAUUUUGACACUAAUUGAAGGAAUCUUCAAAAGUUGAUGUCAAUUGGCAUGGAUGCUUGUAUCUCAUAUUGUCACCCAAUUGGAUUGAGUUAAUGUAGCAUACCCAUGAGACUUAUUCUCACCAAGAGACUACACAAAUUCACUAGAAGAAAAGGUUAGUCUCAAAGACACACGACAUAGAAUGGGCUCCCCCUUAAUAUAUGCAGCAAGUACUUGAAUUACUUGUAAAGUGCAUUUGAAUCGGUUUAAGAGUCAAGAGGAGUUCAUCCUAUAUCUUGGUCAAGGCAUCAUAAAUUUGCAACAAUUGAAAUUUUGCCAAGGAAACAUACCACCACCAAGGUAGAUAUAUCACCACAUAGAUUUUUAUUGAUAUGACCAUCAUAAGUGAGAAUCCAAUGAUUUGGAUGGCCAUAUAUUUCUCAAUUGAUGACAUGUGAUGACUUAGAGCUCUUAUGAUCAUCCAAGAUACAAAUUAUGUUCCUAGUUCUUUCUUUACCUACGGCAACCCUCAAAGAGCAAAAGGUAAAAUUCAUGAAAUUUGCAAAUUGUGAACUAGGAGUUACCACUCUUUGUUGAUAAGAUCCUGGGUGAUCAAUGGAAUGGUUCAUGAACACUUGAUGAGCUCUAGAGAGAAGAAAUAGCAAAGAAAGCCCAUUUUUUAAUUCUUUUUUUUUCAACUCAUUCAAAUCCAGUUCCACCAAAGGAUUGGGGCAUUCAACAUUAAACGGGGAGCACUUGGUUUAUAAAAACAAGAUCCUAGAAUAGUUGUGAAGCACUAAGAGAAUCCAUUGGAAUCAUCCAUCUUCCUUUUUCAUUGUGUGGGACUGCACAACAUACACAUAAGGUCAAGGGAGAAGUUUACACUACAUUCCAACUGGUUUCAAACUCCUUUAGGCUGCUGUAAUUUAAUUAGUUUCAGCUAGUUUCAGUUGCUUCCAAUUGAUUUCAGCUAGUACCAUCUGAUUGUAACUCAUUUUUGCUACUUGUCACUGCUGAAGCCAACUAGUUUCAUCAAGUUUCAACUGAUCUUAGCUGCUGUUUCUGACAGACAGCAUUUGAAUUCUUCUAACAACUAAUUGCAAUUAUUUGCUACUGCUUGUAAUCUGAUUGCAACUUGUUUGGAUCCUUGUAUGAGUUCUCUUCUUCCAAUGAAACUCAUUUAUCCAAACUGAUGCUACUCAUUUUUAAUAAAUCUUUCAUGUCCAACUUGAGAGCCAACUGAAUCUUGUUGUUACACUGCAAUCCAAUUCCAAACAGUCAGUUUUUCAAAUUCUAUCAUCCUCAGAGAAGAAUUCAUAUCUCUCAGACCACUAGCCCAGUAUGCAUGAAAUUUGGUAGAGGUCUUCAUCUAUGAGUCCUCUAAAUUCUGUAUAAAUUUCAUCUCAUUUGGACUCCAUUGGAUCAGUCAAAAUAAUUUUCUACCAAAACUGCUAUGGUCUGAAUCUGCAAUGCUGAAGCUGACAGAAUUCCACUCAAAACUGAUUUUCUUCUUAACCAAUCUUCAUGUAAACUGUACAGAAACAAGUAUCAGAUAUGUGUGUCAUGCUCGUAAUGUUUCAGGUUAAUUCAUCAGUGUUUGGACAUCCAAAUCCAUGCUUGAAGGCAGCCAAUUCAGAUUUUCAAAUUUCUGGACAGUUUUAAUAUUUCACAAUUCUUGUUUGCUUCGUGUCCAAUCUUGAGGUGGAUUUGGUUGAGAAUACUCACAAUAUGCAAUUUCCAUUCAGUCCUCUUAUCAGUACUUGUCAUCUUGUGAAUUCUUCUAAUAUAGCUCAUCCAAUUCAACCUCAAACUUGAUUUUAUUCAAUUAAGCCAAGCACAACCUCUUCUCAUAAAUUUUCACCCUUCUUGAGAUAUAAUGGAUGAGAUGGUCUCUUCACCUUGACUUUGUUUAUCAUCAUGUUGUAGGCUUCAUCCAUGUCUUGGACUGAUGUCACCUGCUGCUAUCUAUAUAGGGGCGGCACAACUGUUCUAAGGUGUCAGCGGAAUUAGAUGCAGCAGCAGCUUGAGGAUAUCCUUAUCACUGUUACUUGGACUUCUUUGGUCUCAUAUCACCAGUGAAAAUUUUCUUGAUUACCUCAUAAGAUGGUUCCUCAUUACCUACAGCAUAAACAAGAUCUUGCUCUACUAGAGAGCCAUUAAAAGCAUCAUAUGUCAAAUGAUUUAUUUAACUUGAAAUACUCUAGCCACUCUUGAUAAUUCACAAAUACACACAUACUUGUGAACUAUCAGACACUACACAAGUCAAAUGGCUAGCUAGCAAGGGUUAGGUGCUAGUUACCAAGGUGAAUAUGAAGUUUGAAAUAAUUUCAUUAAUUUAUCUUCGGGUCAACCAUAUAAGAAGAAACAAUAUGAAUUGGUUGAUAGCUUGAGUGAAUAUUUUCAGUUAACUUGCUGAAGCACCCCGAAGCAUCAUAUCACUUUUAAGUACCUACAACACUCAUCAAGCACAAUUUGGUACCCAAGCGAUGUUGGGUCCAUCAUGGUAAGUCACAAGAGACUUAGGCACCCAAAUGGCCUUUGUGCUAGCACUUGGUGAACCAAUCACCUUUCUAGUACAAGUGUCAUUUUUGGGCCUCCUAAGCAUAUUUGAAUCAAUUGAUGAGUUGGGCUUGUGAGUGUUACCCAUGGAACAAUCCAUACUUAGAUGUCCCUUUCCUCGACAAGUGUAGCGAAUGCGGUGUUUGUUCUUCCAAGACAUAUUCUUAUCUUGCUUCUUGUUUGCUACCUUGUUGACAAGCCUCUUACUUGAUGAUGCCAAGCCUUCAUCCUUCAUGUAGGGGCAUAAUGCAAUUUCAUGACCCUUCUUAUUACAUCCAUAACACUUCCUCUUGCUUCUUCUUAUCUUCAUGUUUGGAAGUGUUGCUUGGUCACCAACCUUGUUGGAACACAUAGAGACAUUGUGUCCCAUGUUGGAGCACUUGACAUGAGCCAUUUUGUUCUUCUCUUGGAUCUUACUCAUGCCCUUCUCUUAUUUAUUCAAAGCGCAAUCUCUGACAUGGUGACCCUCUUUCUUGCACUUGAAGCAAGUGAUAAGAGUCUUCUUUGGUUGACAUUGCACCUUUGUGACCUUGGGAACUUUCCUGUUCUGUCUAGGUGCAGCACCACCGCACUGGGAUGCAUCACUACCACAUUCUUGAACCCUCAUAGCCUUGAGCACAAUUGCUGCAUUUUGGACAAACAGCACAAUUCUAGCUUGUCCCUUGACUUUGCCAUUGUUUGACUUGUGGCCUUGUAGAUAGAGCUUGACGCAUGCAUUAGUUGAUCCCUUCUCAAGCUUCUUCAUCAUGUAUUCACGGUUAUCUUGAGAAGGUUGAGCAUUGCACUUGCCUUCCCAUUGAAUCAAAUCCCUUCUUAGCCUCUCAACCUCUUCCUUGAGCUCUAAAUUUUCUAUUGUAAUGGAGUCAUCACAAGUUUCUACAAGUACAUGCUCAAUGGAAGGUUGACUUGCUUGAGAGCAACAAUUGUUAGCACAUGAUAAAAUAUAUGGAACUUGUGUGCAUGUGCACUUGUGAGUGUGAGGUUGAUAUGAUUUUACUGAUGUUACCACAACCUCAUGAGCUAUUUCUAGCAUGAGAUAAGAAUCAACAAGCUUCUCAUGAGAGCACAAGAGCUCAUCAUGACUUUUUUGCAAAGUCUCAUUCUUGCUAGUGAGACUCUCCACUUUGUCCUUGAGCAUAUCAUUCUCAUCUUCUAAUUGAGCAACACAAGAUAGAGAGUUAAUAGUACAAGUUUGCUCAAUUGACAAGUUUUCAUACCUUUUGACCAAACUAGCAUGAGAGCACUUAAGCUUUUCAUGCUCUUUGGUCAACUUCUCCAAGCAUUUGAUCUUUUUGAUGACAAACUCAUCUUGCUCAUGGAGUUUUUCUUCUUGAUAGUGGUUUCAAACUCAUUUUGCACCCUCUUGACAAAAGACUUGAAUAGAUGACAAACAUCACUCUUGUCAUAGAGGAAGAACACCCAAGUGUAUCUAGUGUAGUCAUCUACUAUCACAAAUCCAUAGUUGUUGCCACCAAUGCUAAUAUAUGUUGUUGGCCCAAAUAAAUCCAUGUGCAAAAGCUCAAAUGCCUUUGAUGUGCUCAUUUCACUUUUCUUAGGAUGUGCAUUUCCAACUUGCUUUCCGGCUUGACAAGCACUACAUGGUUUAUCUUUCUCAAAGGUGACAUCCUUCAAGCCUCUAACUAAGUCAUGCCUCAAUAGUUUGUUCAAUUGUUUCAUUCCAACAUGACCAAGCCUUCUAUGCCACAACCAACCCAAACUUGAUUUGCUAAUUAGGCAUGAUGUCAAUUGAGUGUCACUAUCAUUGAAAUCAACCAAGUAUAAGCUACCAUGCCUAAAUCCUUUGAAUAUCAAGUUUGAUCCAUCAACACUAACAACCUCAACAUCAUCACUUCCAAAGAUACACUUGAAACCAAGGUCACAAAGUUGUGCAGUUGACAAGAGAUUGAAAUCAAGGCUUUCAACUAGCAACACAUUUGAUAUGCUCAUGUCAUUUGAGAUAGCAAUUUUACCAAGCCCCUUGACCUUGCCUUUCUUGUUGUUGCCGAAGGUGAUUGAAUCAAAGCCACCAUUUUGACUAGUAUCAAUUGAUUUCAACAUACAAGACUCCCCGGUCAUAUGUUGAGUGCACCCACUAUCAAGCACCCAAUGCCUUCCUCCGGCUUUGUAAUUGACCUACAAGACAAGAUCAAUUCUUUUUAGGUACCCAAACUUGAUUGGGUCCUCCAAGGUUAGCAACUAAGAUCUUUGGUACCCAAAUGGCUUUCUUCUUUGAGCCCAUCCAUGGUGCACCAAUGAACUUAGCAUGAACACCUUUUGUAUCCGUGGUAAGCACAUAGGAAGAAUUAAGCUUAAUUGAGGAUACAUGAGCUUUGGGUUUCUUGUUCAUGAAUUAUUGCUCUAGGUGACCAACUUGCUUCAAGCUUUGCAAUACCAGCCAUUGUUCUUCACAAAACUAGUCUUGUGAGGAGCAAAGGCAGCUUUGCCUUUCUUGGGGUUAUAGCCCAAUCCCUCUUUGUAGAGAGAAGCUCUUUGGCUACCCAAGCACAUAAGCAAGCGGUCCUCACCACCAUAAGCCUUGGCUAAGGUGUGAUUGAGCUCUUUCACCUCCUUCUUGAGAAUUUCAUUCUCAAAUUUUAGUGAGGUGUCACAAGUGAAACCAUCACUACUAGAUGAGGAUGAUGUAGAUGUGCUACAUGAAGGGUUAGUAGAAGCAAUAACAAUAGGCUUACUCAAGAUAUCACAUGUUAUGCCUAUGUUACAAGUUUGAGCUUUUUCAAUUUUAGUUGGCUCAUUUACACAUUUGUUAACUAGAGAGGAAUGAGCUUCUUCAAGCUUAGUGUGGGCCUUUUGAAGCUUCUUAUGGUCUUCCUUUAGACUCUCAUAAGAUGCUCUAAGCUCAUCAAGUUCUUGCUCAAGGGUUUUCUUAUCCUUAAGCAAGGCCUUGCACUCCUUUCUAGUUUCUUUAUAGUGAUGAGUGCAAUCUUGUAGCAUAGUGAUUAGUUCCUCUUUAGUUGGUUCAUCAUCAUCACUAUCACUAUCACUAGCAUGGCCACUCUCAUCAUCGGAUGAUACCUUAGUGGCCUUAGCCAUGAAGCAUGAUGGAGUGUUGAAGAUGGAGCUUUUUCCUUGAAUUGCAAUGCUAGCAUGCGCCUUCUUCUUGGUGAUCUCAUCAUCACUUAAGGAGUCAUCACUAUCCCAAGUUGCAACAUGGGCAUCACCCUUCUUCUUGUUGGCCUUCCUUCUUUUCUUGCUUCUUCUUUUGCUUCUUUCUUUCCUUCUUGAUAGCAUCUUCAUCAUCACUAUCAUAAGGGCACUUGGCGAUGAGAUGAUCCUUGCUAUGGCAUCUAAAGCACAUCAUGGAAUGAUCAUUCUUCUUGGAGGAGCUCUUCUUUCUUCUUACCCGAUAGCCCUUCUUCUUCAUAAACUUGCCAAAUCUUUUGACAAGAAGAGCCAUCUCCUCAUCUUCAUCACUAUCACAAGAUCUUGCUUCUUCUUCACUUGAUGACUCUAUCUUGACUUUGCCCUUGGAUGAGGAGGCCUUGAAUGCCACACUUUUCUUCUUCUCAUCAUCUUUCUUCUCACCAACCUUCUUCUUUUUCUUGAUCAACUCAUCCUUCUCAUCAUCUUCCCUAUAAGCAUCAUCGGUCAUCACCUCUUGGAAGACUUGUUGGGGAGUUGAUUCACUAAGUGUUGUCUUGACUAGCACGGUGAUCAAUGUGUCAAAUCUCUUGGGCAAGCUUCUCAAGAACUUCAUAGAGAAUUGACUAUCUUUUACUUCUUCCCCAAGUGCCUUGAGUUCAUUCACAAUGACUUGCAACCGGUGAAACAUCUCCGGCACACUUUCAUCUUCUUCCAUCUUGAAGCUUGAGAACUUCUCUUGCAGGAUGUAAGCUUUGGAGGUCUUGGUACCUUUGGUGCCUUCAAAUGUUUCUACUAAUUUUGCCCAUGCAUCAUGAGCAACCUCAAUGUUCUUGAUUUGCUCAAAGGUCUUGUCAUCAAGAGCUUCAUGAAGAGCACUAAUUGCAAUGUCAUUGCAUUGAAGCUUCUUUUCUUCAACUGGUAUUGAUGCAUUUUCAUUUGCAACCUCAAACUUUGUUUCGGUCACCUUCCAAACUUCUCUAUAGAUUGACUUGAGAUGGGCAGUCAUCUUGACCUUCCAAUAAGCAUAAUUUGUGCCAUCAAAGGUGCCUUCUUAGUAUUGUUGAUAUGCAAACUAAGAGCCAUUUCUUCACCGUAGGUUGUUAAGCCUCAAAUAAACGGUGCCUCGGCUCCGAUACCACUUGAAAGGUCCAAAUGGCUAGAGGGGGGUGAAUAGCCUAAUUAAAAUUUCUACAAACUUCACUAAGCAAGCGACUUAGUAAAACAAAUGGCGAAGCAAAUCUAGCACUAGCUCAACUAAGCUAUGCAAGCCACCUAUGCAAACUAGUACAAGGCUAAACACUAAAGCACAACAACAAGAGAAGGCUAGUUACACUCCUAAACAAGAAGACUAAACUAAACAAGCUAAACAACUAGCAAGGUAUACAAGUACGUAAAGGAGUGGAGAGUGAUUGUUAUACCAACGUUGUAGAGUAGAGAUAUAACCAACCAAUCACUCACAAUCACAAGAGAAUCCUCGGUAAGAGAUGACACAAGAUUUUUUACCGAGGAUCACUUGCUUCCCGGCAAGCUACUCCUCGUUGUGGCGAUACACCCACUCGAUGGAUCACGAGCUAAUUGGCAAUCCAAAGCCAAACCCUCAGUGGAUGCCGCACAUCCACUCACAAGAUGGGGAUCCUCCAAGCCACGAGCAAUCCACUAGAGUAGCCAAUUGCGACCUCCCGCGGGGAAGGCUCAAGAACCCCUCACAAAUCACUUGGUGAGGCUCGAAACAAUCUCCAAUCACGAGCUCAACACCGCCGCUUCUCCAAGCCGUCUAGGGCGUCGGGAAACACCCAAGAGUAACAAGAAAUCCGCAGCAAACUCAAGAUUCAAGUGCCACUAAAUGCAACUCUCAAAGCAAAGCACUUGAAUCUCACUCAAUCUCACAAAGAUUAGCAAUCAAGCAAGGAGAUGAGUGGAGGGAGUGUUCUCUAGCCCAAAGUAUGCCUCAAGUAAUCAAAUGUGCAAGAGAGAACCCCCCAAAGCCGGCCACCAACUAUUUAUAAGCACCCACAAAAAAACUAGCCGUUUGCAGUUUUCAGUGUGCUGCAGUCGGGCACACCGGACGCGUCCGGUAUGAACCAGGACAGCGUCCGGUGCCAUUGACCGUGCGAAGACUAGCCGUUAGGUUCAACACUGUCACGGCAACGGACUCUCGCUUUUUAUCGCACCAGACGGUCUCAAGUGGGACCGGACGAAAACUCAGAGAGGUUCGUAGAAGUGUCUCAACACCAGACUCACGCACCGGACGUGUCCGGUGUCACACCAGACGCGUCUGGUGUGCACCGGACAAAAACUCAGGGAGCUUCGCAGGAAGAACUUGCAUCGGACACUAACUCAGACGCGUCCGGUGUCACACCGGACGCGUCCGGUGUGCACCUGACGCAAACUCAGAGAGUUUUCACCGAGAAACAAUCUCACCGGACGAGGCACACUGGACUCUACGCGAAAAUUGUUUCCGCGUCCAGUGCCUCAACUCGGACACGUCCGACCUCAUACCGGACGCGUCCGGCUUGAAAGCACUGCGCGAAACGAUCUCAACCACUUCCCUUGCUUUCAAGUGCCAACAGCAAAGUGUCACAACACUUGUGAAAGUGUGUUAGCAUUUUCUCAAAUAUUUUUAUCAAGGAUUCAAGUUAGCACUUUACUAGAUCCUAAUGCAUAUGGUCAAGAUAUGGACCUAGUAGCACUUGAUUCGAGAGAUGACCGUGAUUUCCCCUCUUGAUAGUCGGCUAUCUAUCCUAAACCCGGUCAAACACUUCUCUACUCAUCUUAGACCGGCAAAAGCAAAACCCUAUGUUUAUACCUUUGCCUUGUUCACUUUCUCCCUUGUCUGUCAUCAUGAUCUCCAGAUCAUGCUUCAUCUCUUUGUAAUCAUGUGGCCACCUUUCCAUGCCACCAUGCACCUUCAUCACAUGUGUUGCUAUGCCUAACUCAAAUCACUUAAACACAAGGCAUUAGCAACUUGGUGUCAUUAAUUACCAAAACCAAGCUUGGGCUUUCACACGUCUCUUUUUUUGUUCAGCCUCAACCCUUUGUCGUAGAUCUUCUGGCCGUAGUAAGAGGUAUGGCUUCUUAGGGUUUCGCUUGGCUUCUCUUUCAGUCUUAAGUUUCUUGAAGAAACUAUCCACGUCUAAUUUUACUGAAGCAUUUAUUUCUGCAUCAGUCUUCUCAUAGGACAGCUUGUUAGGAAUGAUAGCUUGUUUCUUUUUAGAGGCUUUCUUUUUUGGCGGCGGGGCGGCCGACACAUUUGAUUGUGUGUUCGGCCUCUUCUUUCGUGCUGGAGCCACCUGUGGAGGCGAUGGGGCGGCCGGUGGCGGUGUUGGAGCCCGAGGAGGCGGCGUUGGAACCCUAGGUGGCGUUGGAGCCCUAGGUGGCAGUGUUGGAGCCUGAGGUGGCGGUGUUGGAGCCCGAGGUGGCGGUGUUGGAGCCCUAGGUGGUGGCGUUGGAGCCUGAGGUGGUGGCGUUGGAGACCGAGACGAUGCAGCCGUGUCUUGCACUCCCUCGUCAUCACCCGCAGCACUAUGACAUGUUGGUGCCCACCUGUGAAACCAAAAGGUAUAUGAGUAAACCGCUAACUAAAAGAAUGCAAAAUAAAGUUAGUGAACAAAUGUAUAGUCAAUUUUCAUCCACAUCUAGGAUUAGAUUCAUGACGAGGAGGUGGUGGUAGACUACUAGGUGAUGCCCCAGGAAUAAUGAUGUAGCGCUUGCACCAACAAAUAAAAGUCUUCUCUGCUUCUCCUAGAGUCUUCUCUCCAUCACCUCCUUCUAUCUCAAGCUGCACAUUACUGAAGCCUUUGACAACUCUAUCCACCGAGACACUAGCAUAUCCAGGUGGAACUAUCGCCCCAUGGAUUCUUGGUGUCCUCGUAGGGUCGACAGGAGUUACAACAGCGACAGCAACCAUGACUGUGGCAGUCCCCUGUGGAAUGUGCAGCUCACAUGUUGUCAGAGGUUCAGUGAUGUCAUCCACCAGAAAGUGCAGCCCCACGUCGUCUUAAAUAGUUGGCAUAUCCGUGGAAGCGCAACUACUUUUCAACUGAUCGGGGGGGCUAAUGUUGACUCUAGGCUCUGAUGUAGUUUGCCCUUGUAUAGAACUUAUUGCAAUCUGCACUUGUCUUUUGAUAUCCUCGUUCAUUCUCUCUUCAAGCGCUUUCUCUCGCGCUAUCGCUUCACGAGCCGCUUCGCGUGACUCCAUCACCAUUGCCUCCAACCUAUGCAACCGCUCUGCUUCCUCUUCCUUCUUUCGUUGGCGGCUUCUAUAAGUCGGUCUAUCUUUAGGGAAGCCAUGCUCCCAUGAUACCUCCCCAUAGCCUCUAGUUCAACCACCGUGUUCAGUAGUCUCUAGGGCGUAUGUCAGCUCAUCCUUUUCUCUAUUUGGCUGCCAGGUGCCGCUUUUAACUAAUCCUCUAGCGUAGGCCAUUCUCUGUCCUACUCUCUCGAGCUUUUCGCCGUACACUAUCUUUCCGGUCUCUAGGUCUAUGGUUCCCCAUGACCAAAGAACCAAUACUUGGCGCGCUCGGGCCAGUGCAUUGAUUCUGGUUCGAUCCCUCUCCCAAGAAUCUCCUGUUCUAGCUUUUGCCCCUUAGGAAUAGCAGUCCUAUAGCCACCUGAACCCAAGUGAUGGUGGUAUUGCUUUUGUUUAGCAUUUUCCUGAUUCUUGAUAAUCCGUGCCUGACCCUCUUCUGAGUUCUUAAACUCUACGAACUCAUCCCAAAAAGGCCUCAACUUGACGUAGGCCUUGUUGGUGAAAUCUGGUGUCCGGCCUUGUAUAACAAAUGUCUUGUAUAAUGUCUUCUUCCAAGCCUGAAAUUGUUUGGCCAUCUUCUGCAUAGCCCAUAUUUUAACCUUCUCCUUCAAAACUUCAUCCUGUGUAUCGAGCAUGAAAUGUUAAAGGAUAUCUUGCCAAAUCAAUUCCUUGUCACGAUCUAAAACAGAACUAAUAUUAGGGUUAUCUUUCUGUUGCCUCCAUUCACGAGCACUGACCGGGAGCCUCUCCCUUACAAGGUAGCCACAGUGCGCAAUAAAUUUUUUAGAAUUAGCCCCAAGUACUUGUCCUAUACCCUCAUCGAAUUCCGUCAGAAUGUACCGACCCUCCAACGGCUUCUUCGGGCCGCGCACUUUUCUACUCUUCUCAGAAGUUGUCGCCGAUUUAGAGGUCUACACAAACAAGUACAAAUAUAUUAGUAUAAAUGUCAUUUAUUUUAAUUUCAUAUAUAUACAUAUAUACUACAUUGUAGAUAGACCUCAUCAGGAUUGUCUCUCAUAAGUUCUUCAUAAUCAGCAAAGUACUGACUCGCAUCAUCUUCGCCUUGGGGAUCUGGAUUGGCGCCGCUGUUGAUUAGGUCCAUUAUUGCAUCAUCUAUGUUGUCAUUCGGAUUGGCCAUUUCUGUAAAUUUAAUCAAGUGUUAAAAGUUUUUGAUGCGAUCAACCAAAAUUAUUUGGAUAGGCUAAACUUAGACAAAAUUUGGAUACAAUAUUUGUCGACAAAUUUUGUCCACACAUUGCGAGACAAAUUUUUUGCAAAUAAACAAGGCCCUCCAUAUAUAUGUUUACAGCAUGUAAUUAAUUUGCGCGAUAAAUAUGAUAAAGGAAACAUGUUUAAUUAGAUAAACCUUUUAAGCUUAAUUAGUUUAUGUUAGCCAUAAUUACUAUAAUAACACAGAUAUGCUAAUAACGGAUUAGUUAGAUAAAAUUAUAUAAUUAAUUUUUUAAUUAAUAUCAAAACUGCUCUUUCGAUAUUCCAUAAAUUUUUCGAUACAACAACUAAAGACUUGUUUAGUUUCAAAAAUAUUCGAUACAACAACUAAGGGCUAACAUAAACAAAUUAAGCUUGGGUAAAUAACAAUAACUAAUUACAACUAACGCCUUCACACUGUAAAAAUAAAUUACACAGGAUAACUUAUAAAAUAGAAAUUAUAUCAUCUUAUCUCAAUCUAUAACUCUUAUAAAGCUAAAUCCCACUAGAUGAUUUCUCUCUACAUGUAAGGUGUCCAUAUCAUUUCCCACUAAGUGACUCAUUAAAUAUUAUAUCUCUUCAUGCAAGGUGUCCAUAUCAUUCCCUACUAAAUCCAUGUCAUCCCAUAUUAAAUACAAAAAACGUACAUCAUGUGAAAUACUUUAAAUCUUUAUUCUAUUAACAUACAAGUCAUGUACAUACACUAUUUGUUUCAUCACCAAUUAAUUCCUCUAUAAUUUAACCAAUAUUAGUUUUUUUCUAUUAGCUUAGCGAUUUUUUACUACAUUUAAUACAAUACAAUACAAUACAUACAAGUUAAAUUCAUAUGUAUACAUACAUAAUGCAUUGAAUACCAUAUAGUAAUAAUAUAUAUAUAAUAAUUUAUUUUUAAUAAAAUCCUGCAGCAACACGCGAGGAAUUCACAAUAUAUAUAUAUAUAUAUAUAUAUAUAUAUAUAUAUAUAUAUAUAUAUAUAUAUAUAUAUAUAUAUAUAUAUAUAUAUAUAUAUAUAUAUAUAUAUAUAUAUAUAUAUAUAUAUAUAUAUAUAUAUAUAUAUAUAUAUAUAUAUAUAUAUAUAUAUAUAUAUAUAUAUAUAUAUAUAUAUAUAUAUAUAUAUAUAUAUAUAUAUAUUUAUAUAUAUAUAUUAAAUAAAUAUAUCUAUAUAUAAUCACACACGUCUAUAUAUAUAUAUACUCAACACAGUUUCUUCGAAGUAUUGGGGGGCGAGAUCACACAACUCCCUACGGGGCGUCGGUGCCGGGGACCACGGCGUCGGAGCCGGGGACGAGGGAGUCGGAGACGAAGGAGGGCUCGGCGCGGCGCUUCGUACGCUGCCGGCCGAAGACGAGGGCGUCGGGGACGAUGGUUGGCGGCGGCGGUGGCGUCGCUCCAUGGGCUCGCGGCGCUCCGGGGGACGAGAUGUCUGCGGUGGCGGCCGGGGACGAGGGCGCGAGGUGACGGCGGGGAGGAGCGGCGCGCGGCAGGUGAAAUUAAGGCAACGACGGCAGGGAGGAUGGAGGAGGGAGACGACUGUGCGCUUAAAUAUAUGCGGGGACCUUUAGUCCCGGUGCGUAACACCAACCGGGACUAAAAGGUCUUUAGUCCCGGUUGGUGGUACGCAUCGGGACUAAAGGUUCAACUCCCGGUUCGUAGAUGGAACCCGGUUGUUGUUGAGCACCGGGACUAAAGGUAUUUUAACCGUUUCUUACUUAUUUUUGCUUACAAUAAUUAGAAUAAUUUUAAUAACUACAUAGUAAAUAGAAUAAUAGGUAUUAAUUUGUUAAAAAAUAAUAGUUCCAUUUUUUUUGUCUAAUUGCUUACAUAAUAAAUUUGGAAACAUAAAAUCUUUCCAUCUCUUAUAUUAGCAAACUUAAAUAUGAAAAAUAAAUAAUAUUUUGUUAAUGCAAAAAUGUGUUAUUUAAUUUUAAUAUCUUCAAGUAGUUGUUUUUGAUAGAAAAUUUGUUUGUGCAUUAUUUAAACGUAAAUUUUGUUUAUUUAUCAUCAUUUAUCUCCAAAAUCAUGAUAUACGUGAUAUUCACCAUUACAUCGGAUUAUUUUUCAAAGGUUUUUCUCUAUUUCUUAUUUAUUUAUGCUUACAACAAUAUUCACCAUUACAUCGGAUUAUCUCUAACAACUUUGUAUUCAAAUUUUUUUCAUUUCAAGUCAUUAAAUGGGUCAUUUGACCAAGUUUGACCAAAGUCAAAGCAUUGGUUUUAGAAACACACACUUUGACCGAACCCUAUAUCGUCCCAAAUGGAAAAGUAAUGAAUACAAAGUUUGUUGCACUCAUCAAGUUCUACAUUUUUUUCUGAUGGUCAACUUUUCUUUUGAAAAAGUUUGAACCACUCAAUUUUAAAUUUUGAAAGAAUUCAAAGCGACGCAUCGUUUUUUGGAACCCUAGAUGGUCUCGAACGGAAAAGUCAUGAAUACCAAUAUUGUUUCACUCAUCAAAAUAUACAUUUAAUAUAUAGACCAUUUUUGCAUUUGACAAAGUGUUGGGAAGGUGUAGUUCAAAAUCCACAAUUGACACAUAUAGUUUCAUAUAGUUUGUGUGAGAUUAAAGAAUUGGUGGGUACUGUGAACUUAAACUUUCUCAAAUGGAAAAAAUGUCUAUAUAAAAAGUUUAGAUCUAGAUGAUAUCUAACAACUUGGUAUUCAAAAUUGUUUCAUUUUAAGUAAUUUAGUUUGUCAUUUGACCAAGUUUGACCAAAACCCGUCUUGGAUUUUGAACAAAAGUGCUUAGGAUUGGCUCAAAUUUAUCCAAAUGGAAAAAUGGACAAUAUAUCAUAUGUAGAUCUUGAUGAUCUCUACCAACUUUUUAUUCAAAUGUUUUUCAUUUCAAGUCAUCAAAUGGGUCAUUUGACCAAGUUUGACCAAAGUCAAAGCAUUGGUUUUUAGAAACACACACUUUCACCGAACCCUAUAUGGUCCCAAAUGGAAAAGUAAUGAAUACAAAAUUUGUUGCACUCAUCAAGUUCUACAUUUUGUCUAAUAGUAAACUUUUCUUUUGGAAAAGUUUGAACCACUCAAUUUUGAAUUUUGAAAGAAUUUAUAGACUCGCAUCGGUUUUCGGAACCCUAGAUGGUCUCGAACGGAAGAGUCAUGAAUACCAAUAUUGUUCCACUCAUCAAAAACUACAUUUAAUAAAUAGACCAUUUUUGCAUUUGACAAAGUGUUGGGAAGGUGUGGUUCAAAAUCCACAAUUGACACAUAUAGUUUCAUAUAGUUUGUGUGAGAUUAAUGAAUUGGUGGGUAUUGUGAACUUAAACUUUCUCAAAUGGAAAAAUUGUCUAUAUAAAAAGUUUAGAUCUUGAUGAUAUCUAACAACUUGGUAUUCAAAAUUUUUUCAUUUUAAGUAAUUUAAUUUGUCAUUUGACCAAGUUUGACCAAAACCCGUCUUGGAUUUUGAACAAACGUGCUUAUGAUUGGCUCAAAUUUAUCCAAAUGGAAAAAUAAAGAAUAUAUCAAAUGUAGAUCUUGAUGUUCUCUUCCAGGUUUUUAUUCAAUUUUUUUUCAUUUCAAGUCAUCAAAUGGGUCAUUUGACCAAGUUUGACCAAAGUCAAAGCAUUGGUUUUUAGAAACACACACUUUCACCGAUCCCUAUAUGGUCCCAAAUGGAAAAGUAAUGAAUACAAUGUUUGUUGCACUCAUCAAGUUCUACAUUUUGUCUAAUAGUAAACUUUUCUUUUGGAAAAGUUGGAACCACUCAAUUUUGAAUUUUGAAAGAAUUCAUAGCCUCACAUCGAUUUUGGGAACCCUAGAUGGUCUCGAACGGAAAAGUCAUGAAUACCAAUAUUGUUCCACUCAUCAAAAUAUACAUUUAAUAUAUAGACAAUUUUCGCAUUUGACAAAGUGUUGGGAAGGUGUAGUUCAAAAUGCACAAUUGACACAUAUAGUUUCAUAUAGUUUGUGCGAGAUUAAAGAAUUGGUGGGUAUUGUGAACUUAAACUUUCUCAAAUGGAAAAAUUGUCUAUAUAAAAAGUUUAGAUCUUGAUGAUAUCUAACAACUUGGUAUUCAAAAUUUUUUCAUUUUAAGUAAUUUAGUUUGUCAUUUGACCAAGUUUGACCAAAACCCGUCUUGGAUUUUGAACAAACGUGCUUAGGAUUGGCUCAAAUUUAUCCAAAUGGAAAAAUGGACAAUAUAUCAAAUGUAGAUCUUGAUUUUCUCUACCAAGUUUUUAUUCAAAUUUUUUUUAUUUCAAGUCAUCAAAUGGGUCAUUUGACCAAGUUUGACCAAAGUCAAAGCAUUGGUUUUUAGAAACACACACUUUCACCGAACCCUAUAUGGUCCCAAAUGGAAAAGUAAUGAAUACAAAGUUUGUUGCACUCAUCAAGUUCUACAUUUUAUCUAAUGGUCAACUUUUCUUUUGGAGAAAUUUGAACCACUAAAUUUUGAAUUUUGAAAGAAUUCAUAGCCACGCAUCUGUUUUCGGAACCCUAGAUGGUCUCGAACGGAAAAGUCAUGAAUACCAAUAUUGUUCCUCUCAUCAAAAUCUACAUUUAAUAUAUAGACCAUUUUUGCAUUUGACAAAGUGUUGGGAAGGUGUAGUUCAAAAUCCACAAUUGACACAUAUAGUUUCAUAUAGUUUGUGUGAGAUUAAAGAAUUGGUGGGUAUUGUGAACUUAAACUUUCUCAAAUGGAAAAAUUGUCUAUAUAAAAAGUUUAGAUAUUGAUGAUAUCUAACAACUUGGUAUUCAAAAUUUUUUCAUUUUGAGUAAUUUAGUUUGUCAUUUGACCAAGUUUUACCAAGUUUGACUAUUUUUGCAUUUGACAAACAAUUGACACAUCUCUUAUAAUCGCAAACUUAAAUGUCAUUUCAUUAUUUGAAAUGAUAGAAAAUAAGAAAAACUAAUAUAAACAUCUUAAGUUACAAUUGUCAAAUACACAUACUCUAUUGCAAUCAGGCGGGCACAAUAGUGAUCUUCUUUUUGACGUAUGUUCCUUGGUCAUGAUCUUGACGUAACCAUAGAGUGUCCUCAGCAUUUAUCAGUAUGCUCGGAUCUUUGGUCACAUUGAAAGGCAUGAUUCGGUCAUCCCUUUCAUAAUCUUCUGAAAUAUCUGACUUGUCCUCAAUUUCCACAAUGUUUCUUUUCUCUGAGAGAACUAUAUGGCGUUUUGGCUCAUUUGUUGAUUUGUUGUCAUUUUUCCCUCUCUUCUAUUUUGUAGACAUGUCUUUCACAUAGAACACCUGAUUCACAUCAGCAGCAAGGACGAAUGAUUCAUCUUUGUAACCAACAUUGUUGAGGUCCACUGUUGUCAUUCCAUAGUCUUUGUCAACUGUCACCCCGCCUCCGGUAACCUUCACCCAUUGGCACCGGAACAAAGGGAUUUUAAAAUUAGGUGCGUAGUCUAGUUCCCAAAUCUCCUCUAUACGGCCAUAAUAUGUUUGUCUGUUUCCAUUCGGGUCUAUGGCGUCUACGUGAACUCCACUAUUUUGGUUUGUGCUUCUUUUAUCUUGGCCUAGGGUGUAAAAUGUAUUUCCAUUUAUCUUGUACCCUUUGUACGUGAGGAUGUGCCGUGAUGGUUGCCUAGCCAACAAAUACAGUUGCUCAUCAAUCUGGUCAUUACCCUGACAUUCUUUUCGUAACCAAUCACUGAAAGUGUCUAUGUGCUGAUGCAUAAACCAAGCUUCAUUCUUCUCUGGGAAUUGGGAUCAUAGGAAGUCCUUGUGUUUCGUGACAUACGGCUCCACUGUUGGGUAUUCUUAACGUCAUUACCAAAAGUAGACUAAGUUCUUUAAAUCGAGUAACGGUGCCAAAAAUGCCAAACCUAUCCCUCACGCCACUUAAGCCAAGUUGUCAUCCCCAGCAUGAUAUAAGAGACGCGGUAUUGAAAUAUGCAAUUGCUCUUCUAAAUAAAUAAUGAAUGGGUCUGCAAGCGCACAGAUUAAUACCGAUGCAGCAUUUUAACCGGGAAGUAUUCCAGGUAUCGUUAUUUAUAUUUUUACCACUGGGAAGGGAUUAGCAAUCAUCACUAUUGAUUACAGAAUAGAAUAUGAGAUUGAGCAUCUAUCAUUGCAUGUAUAAUUGGGAACAUUAUAUCUAACUCUUCAUACAGGGAUAAGUGUCACAUAAAAGAUAUAUGAAAUAAUAAUAGUGACAAGGAUAACUAAUCUUAUCUAGCCACAUAAUAAAUAUGAUAAGCACCUCAAUUAGAUACUCUAGAAAGUCAUUAGCAUGGUAUUAGAACGAACUACAAGAAUAUUCGCUAAGUUAUUCUUAACUAUAUAGUCUAGCAUUAUCAUAGUUAGUGCAAGCAUACUUAGCAAUCAUUGCGAGACAAGACUACGCCCAUGCAUAGUGAUAUUAGCAAGGAAUAUGAGAAACAUAGCAAUCACUCCCCUGUAAUAAUGUUGCUCUGCCAGCCCAAUACACGAGAGGGGGACUAUAUAAGAAUCAAUGAAGCUGUCACUAUCACGAACCACCCCACGAUCUGGCAUAUUGGGUACAAUCGCAGAUAAAUACGGUAUAAGCACCACGCCUACACAAUAUCUCAUUUACCCAUGGAUCCGAUGGAUAAACGCUAUACGAUCCCAAGCAUGUAUAUAGAUCUAAUCUAACUAAGCCAAGUACAUAACUAUGAUAAACUAAGAACAAUAUAAUCUUGAAUAUAAGCAAGUAGAGCAAAGUCAUAAGCAAUAUAUUGAAGUAGAACAAAGUCAUAUUCAUAAUAUUGAAGAACAAAGAUGAUUAGAAAGCAAUUAGAAGCACAAUUAGAGAAUCACCAAGAAUCCUCUUGACAGAUCCGGAAACCAAUCGAAGAUUGACUCCUUCUAGUUCUAAUCCUAUGUAGCUAUGCUAAUCUAGAUAUCUAAUUGAUGUGGUGGCUCUAAUCUUGAUCAGAGGCUUCUUCUCCCUUGAUGGAACAAUGAAUUAGGGUUGAGAGGCUCCCUCCUCCAGGGGCCAGGGGGUCUGGUUUUAUAGUCCCUCCAAGUGAAUAUGGGCCAUUGGAUCAAACCGACAUAGAUUGUAUGGUUUAGAUUCAUCCUUUAGGUCGGUGGAGAUCUCCCGCAAAGCAGAGUCCUGAUUGGACUCAGGGAGGGGGCGGGCGCCCAGUAGGACAGGGCGGGCGCCCUGCCUCUGGCCCCGUUUCGCCUCCGCUUCGGUCUCGUGGCUUCUGGAGUCUUCUAGAUGUAAGAUAAUUGCGCAGCACGUUAAUAUCUUUAUGUAAUCCCGACAUGUGGGCCUUUCUUCCACAUUUCCUGAUAACCCCCUGCAGAAAUAGACAAACACCAAAACUCGUGGAAUUCUGUCAGAUAAAACCCUAAGUCUAGAUCUUAAUUUCAUUUGGAUCGUUUUCUUUAUUUAUUUAAUAAUUAAAUUUGAUACUUAAGGACCGUCAACAAACUCCCCCAAGCUUACCUCUUGCUCGUCCCUGAGCAAGGAUAGACUCUGCUAUGGAUCAUAAGUUGUUGCAAUAUUUUAAAAAAUUGACGGUACACAUGCUUUUUAAAUAAGAUCUCAUCUCUGAAUUAGAGUAAACUGUCAAGACUUAAAACUUACUUACUUUACCUUCACCAUGGGACUUGUAACCGUCACUUCCAUCUUGAGCAGUUAAAAGAUAGAACAAUCUAGCCAAGUGCCAUGUCUCUUAUUCUUGAUCAGCUAUAGCUCUGGGGUUUUUGCAGAUUUUCAAAUAAAACUCAGAGAUUCCUUGUAUGAUUCUCUCAGGUCUCUCUUUUGUGGUAUUUUUGGAUCCUUACCAAGGUAGUGAUGGUAUAUGCCUUCUCUCAAUAUAUGUGGUAUUUGUGGUUUGAGGCAUAGUGACAUUGCCUUCUCUCUCACCCUACUCUAAUAAGGCUUUAAUAUCUGGAGCUCAUAGGUGGGAGAUAAAAUAUACAUACUUACAAGACAUUUAUUGCAUAGUCAAACCAUGGAUCCAAAGAAACAAAUCAAUAAGCCAAAUCAAGAUGUCCAUGUGUGGCGAAUGAAUGGUGUAUGGUGAUGAUGGUGAUAACAUUGGUGAAAACAAUGGUGGUGGAAGUCUAAUUCUACUUUGCUCUUUGAGGGGAUACAUAACUUCCUUGCUUUUGAAACUUUAUGAGGAGAAUGAGAUGCUCUUCUUUUUCUUGUCUCUCAGGUGGGUAUCUUGUACCCCUAAUUCUACUGUCGGACAUUUGUCCAUUUUUACCUCUCGUCUCACUUUUUCUUUUCUUUCGAGGUUCCGAGCACUUGCUCCUUUUUAUUUCCUCGUAUCUCUUUUUUUUCUUUUUAGAGCAUUCAUCUCUUGAGAUAAUAUAGCAAGUGGUAGUAACAAGAUAACUUGAGCAUUUAUUUCACAAGGGGAAAACAGAAAUAUUUUUGGUUAUUCUCUCCCGGAUUAGGAGUAGAAUAUUUUUAGGUGAUUCUAGAGAUGGAAAUGGAUGGAUAUAUGUGGAUGGUACUUUCGGAGUAGAAGUAGCAUAUAUGAGUGAAUGUGCAAGUGAAAUCUUGAUUUAACCACAUGACUAGCCCCUAAGGGUCUACACAGCUUGACCACACUCAAUGCUCAUAAGCAGUAAAUAUUAAAUGUGCGGCUCAAAGUCUAGCAAGCAUGUAUAUAUGGCUGUGGUAGGAAUUUAAACUCUCAUCAUAUAGGAACUCAUCAUGCAGCAUUUUAAAGAUUUUCAAAGAUAAAAUUCUCCAGAAUUCUAGCAUCUCUAGGAACAGAUAAACAGCAGCUCAACCUUCCCAUAUCGUAUCCGUUAACAACUUAGACUUCAGAUCAAGUUUUCAUCCCACAAGUUUAGGUCUAGAGCAAGAUUUAAAUUAUAACAGUUAUGUCUAAACUUGAGAGAAAACUUAAAAUGUGCAAAUUAGGCAGAGCAACUAUUUAUCAUAUCCAUGCUUAAGUUUUAUUUAGAUACAGAUUAGCAUAGCC